rnacentral:lncRNA from 1 species
AACUGCAAAAAUUAAAUCCAAAAUUAAUUUGUCUUAGGAUCAUACUGCUUUGAAAUAAUCACACAACAAGCUAAUAAAUUAUACGUACGUCUGUGGAAACAAUGUCAUCCAUGAGCCUAAAAAUUGUAUUUGCAGCUCUAACAAUUUUGGGGUCAGUGAACAACCACUCAAAUGCUUCCUUUGUCACAACAUCUCCCAUGCCAAGUAAAGAUAUGGUUGUAAGAAAGGUGUAACUAAUCGAAACUGUUGCAACACGCAUAUACUCCUCCAUGCUUGGAACUCGUCCCUCGUGCAACCAUUGGGCCUCAUUAAAAUAGGAUCGAGCUUGAUCUUUCAUCUGAUGAGCCAAGGCUAUGUUAAUUUACCAGGAAGAAAAAAAAGUUUAAAAGGAAAGUUCUGCAUAUGUAUAUGUACUACAUACAGCUUGUAUUGCAUAUGGAACUCGGUAUGAUCUUCCUUCCUUCACCAUCUCUGCCUCAAUAUCAUUGUAGAGAUUUAAAAGUGCAUGAUAAAAUGUUUGCAUAUAUUCCGGGAGUUCAUCAAUGCAAUUGACAUCCCACCUGAAGCUCUAGCAUAAUCAUCAUCGUAAUCAUUGGAAUAAAGUAGCAGUUUUUAAUUAUUUUUAACAAAUAGUUAUUAAUUAAAUAUCUCAAACCUGUCAAUCGCUUCAGUAAAGACUACGAGCUCUUCAAAUGUACCAAAUGCGUCGUAGAUAUCAUCCAAUAUUGUCAGCAAGACACUCACUUUUGUCAUAAUUUUUCUCCCAACAGAGUACUGGGGUUCAAAAUACACUCCGACGAUCCAAAAGUACAACUCUACCAUCCUAUCUCUUGCAAAUGGCAGCUUCCUUUCAAAGUCUAGUGCUCUCCACCACCUAAACAUAUUACUUAACUAUUAAUUACUUCGAAUUCGAAAGUUAUGUGUGUGUGUGUGUGUGUUUAUUGGUGCCAUCUUGCAAACUAAUAAGAUCAGCUUAAUUACCUAGUGAUCUCUUGGAGCUCCUUUUUGUGCAAGGGCUGGACGAGAUUGAAGUCUAACUUUGCAAGUUUCAGAAGAGAUUCAUUAUGUGAAGCUUCUUCUUGGUAGAUUGAAAUGUAACGUCGCGCAGAUAAUCUCUCUAGACUUUUUCGCAGAGGUCUCUCUAGGGCUUGAGUUAUUUGUGUAGCUAGUGGAUUGCUUACACGGGUUGCUGCUGACUCAAGGUGAGUGGUGGUGAAUACUAGAGCCUCUUCUAAUAUGUCUUCUCCAUGCACCCUCAGAUGUGUUGCUUCAUAAAAGCUUAGCAUACCAGACAUGUCAUCAAUCAAGCUUUCCUUGAAGUUACUACUUUCAUCUUUGAAAUUGUUGAAUAUGGCUGCAUGAUUUUCAGAAAAUAGGGACAAAAGAAUUAUGAAAGUUUUAAUAGUAACUCAAAUUAACUAAUUAAGUUAAUUUGUUUACACCUAAUUAAGUUAAUUUGUUCACACCUACCACAGGAAACAUUAUAUCCAUGUUGUCUUAGCAGCCGGAAACCUAAAGCAACAGUGUAUAGAUCAACAUCAUCGUUGCCAUGGUCAUCAUCAAACGUAGAAUGCAUACAUUCAAGUGCUUCUCUGAUUUCUCUUUCAAAAUGGUAUGCCAAGCCAAGGCGCUGAAUUGCAUCAAUCAACUUUAGCUGAAGUGAAAAAUCAGUUGCACUAGUUGUGAAUGCUUCCCUCACAAUUUCUUUGAGUUCAUCAACCUGUUGUUGACUUUGAGCUUGAGUAAUCUGCAAAUGGUGAAGUCCGCUUCUAUUAGAAAGUGUCAAUUUUAUGUAUUUAAAAAUAGCCAAACACUGCUAUAUCAUAACUCAUAAUGUUAAAAAAUGCUGUGAUAUUGUAGAAGAUAAUGUGCGUGCGUGCAUGCAUGAUAUGUAUUACAGUGUCUUGGGAAUCAUCAUAAUUUAUGAACUGAUCUCCCCAAACGCUUGGGUGAAAAUUUGCCGUCCGCCGAGCAACGUCAGGCAUAGCAUUUUGUGAUUGAGCUUCUGCUGAAUCCUGGAUUAAUGCCAUGCUUUCCUGUUGGAGAAUUUUAGUCAGUAUAUGAAGAAGAAUGCGUGGACGAUCAUGUAUUUAUAGGCAAGCAAAUAUAGAAUUUAAUCCAAAAGGUAACCUCGUGGCUUUAUUAUUAUUAUUAUUAUUUUGGAUGAACUCAAUGUUCUCGUGCUUUUUUUUUUUUAUUAUUUUGGAUGAACCCAAUGUUUUAAAAGAGGCUAGCCACUAGUUGGGCAACAUGCUGGAGCCUGCGAUGUGUUGGGGCCUAGCGUCUAGACGGAGAUCUAGGUGAAUUUAAGUAAAUUUAUUAUAUAUGCCUAUUUAUAUUUAAAAAAAAAAUACAUCACAGUAUUGGAUACAUAAAUUAUAAAAUAAAAUAACAUAUACAUUAUAAAGUAUUAAAACAUAUUGAAAACACGUGGAAUCAUAUAAUGAGUAUUUAUCCAAGUAUUCAACAAGUAUAUUACAUUUUAUUGAAAAAAAUAAAAUGCAAACUGAAAUUUUAUCUAUUUUUUGUUUAAGUGAGACUCAUGACCUAAGCUGGCUAGGCAAACGUCUAAGCAGUUUUAGGUGCCCUUUUUUAAUUUUUAAACACCUAAGGAUUAAUCGGGAUGGUAGCUAACCGCUUAUUACCUAAGCAAAAUCUAAACAGCGUUAAGCGGGAAUUUUAGAAUAAUGAAUUACCCUCGUGGCUUGAAUGGGUCAAUCAAAAGUAGGACCUUUCAAAACCGCGUAAAAGCUUUUCGUAAGGAAGUUAGUGCAGGUCGGCGAGCAAAUAUAGAAUUUAAUAACACUCACCAUAGCAGAAGCUGGACAUUCAUAAAUCACAUGAAAUACCUGUAAAGCAUGCAGUAAUUUGAAUUUUUUACUUAAUUCGUAAAUAAUACUUACGAAUGGCAACGGAUCUGGUCCCUACCACGUUUUGGAUACCCUCAUAUAUAUCCCCACGUUUUUUUAGUGGAUGCCUUUAAUUCAUAGGUAAUACUUGAGAUGCCUAAACGUUAUCCUUAAUUCACGUGUUCAGUGACGAAAUCAGUAAUUAGGCGUUUAAGUAAAUAAAAUUUGAAAACUUAAGAAUCUACUACAAAAUUUAGUGUGAGUCACCGGGUGUAUGCCUAAACAAUUUCAUUCAUUGUGGAAAAUACUUGUUCUUUAAUUGAGUGCACUGUUCUAAAAAUUCCCGCUUAACGAUGUCUAGGCCCCUCUUAGGCGUUAGACCACUGGCUACCGUCCCGAUUAAUGCCUAGACACUUGAGAAUUAAGAAAGGGCGCCUCGACCUGCUGAGGCGCCCAUCUGAACCGCCUAGGCACCUACCUAAGUUGUUACUCACUUAGACAAAAAAUAGAUAACUUUCAUUUUGAAUUUUAUUUUUCUCAAUAAAUUGUAAGAGACUUGUUGAAUACUUAAAUGACCACACAUUAUUAUAUGCUUGUUCCCCAUUUUUUUAUUAUAUUCUAAUACUUCAUAAUAUAUAUGUCAUUCUAUUUUGUAGUUUAAGAUGAAAUCAUAUAUAUAUAUAUAUAUAUAUUAAGUAUAAAUAGACACUUAUUUACACAAAAUAUACUGCAUUUACUUAAAUAUGCCUAGUCCAACUAGAUGCCCACCUAAGCCCCGCAUAGACACUAGGCCCGAACCUGCCACCUGACUAGCACUUAGCGUCUUUUAGAACCUUAAUUGAGUGUGAGCCAGUUGAAGAACAAUUAAGUUUGGUUUGAGCUCACACCCCAAAUUCUUGAAAUUUUUACAAAACAUAUCAAAUGAAUGUGAGCUCAAACUGAACUAAGUAUGAAACUUAAGGUUUUAAAUAUCGUUUUUAAUAUUAAAUGCGAAUUUGAACCACAUUAUUGCUACAGUUUAGCUGUAAAGAAAAAGAUCUGACGGUCUAAAUUUAAAUCCAACUGCUAAAAUAAUUAAAAAAAAAAUAUUUCAUGUCUUUCAUAUUAUUUCAUAGUGUUCCACGAAUUUCAUGGCUUCAGUUUAGUGAUUUUUUUCAAUAUUUAUCGUAAUCUAAUUAUUUUUAGAUUCAAAUGUUCAUAAAAUUAAAUUAGCAUAUUCAACAUAAUUUUUUUUAAAGUUAUUUUAAAAAUCCAAAAAUCAUUCUUUAAUGAUUUAGAGAUAAAAAUUUAACCCAAAAGGAUUAGAGUAGAAAACAUGUUUCUCGGUUAAAAGUUUUAGGUUUUAACCUAAAGAGUUGGAGAUGGUAUUAAUGUAAAUAUUAUCAUUUUGUUAAAAAAAAAUCAUUUUUUACAGAAAUAUCUAGUAAUUAAUUUAGGAUUGUUGUAAGCAUAAUUUACUGAACAAUUAUGGAGGCUAGAGAUAGGGAUGGGCAAAUACCCAUCGGUUAUGGGUAAUCGUGGUUAUCCAUCCAUUUAAAUUUUACGGUUACGGUUAUGGGUAACCGUUUAGAUAAAUAAACGGUUAUGGGUAUAACCGUUUACUUGCAAAAUUUCAAUUGGCGGUUAUGGGUAUUAACCGCGGUUAUAAACGGGUAACCGUUUACCCAUUUAUUUAUAUAUGUAAAAUUAAUACAAACCAUGUUCCCUAUCGGACAAAACUUAGAUCAAUGCUAUUGACUAUAGUGCAUGAUUUCUGUAGCUAAUAUAAUAUAGUUUUCCUUAACCACUUUAAAUUUCAUGGUCCAUUAUAUAUAUUAUGUUAAUACCUUACAUUAUACUAUCUUUUAACAGUUUUCGUAACUCAAGAAUACUUAGCAAAUUUUAUAUUACCUACAUUGUUAACAGUUAAAAAUAUCGUCAGUAAACUAUUACUUCAAUUAUUGGAAUGGUAUAAUGACUUAAAAAAUUAAAACGCAGAAAUGUAUGAUGAAUGUAUCUAUAACGGUGUUUAAUUGUUAGAAAAAAGAAAAUUAUGACAAAUUUUUCUUUUUUAAUUUUCAAGUUGUUAACAAAACACGUAGACGGGUGAAAAAGGAGUGAAUGGUAAAAAAGAAAGGAUAAACGGGUUAAAAAAGGAUAAAUGGGUAAACGGGUACUAAACGGUUAUGGUUAAAUGGGUACAUGGUUAUGGGUAUGGGUAUAACCAUUUAGGCAAUUACCCAACGGGUAAACAGUUAUGCGGGUAUGAGAAUAAACGGUUAUGGAUAAAUAACCGUGGUUACCCGCCCGCCAUAACCAUUGCUCAUCCCUAGCCAGAGAGAGAGGGAAAGUGCGGCAAUAGUAGAGAGAAAUAGGUGUAAUUGUGGGUGUGUUCUAUUCCACCCUAUUGUGCCUUUAUUUAUAGUAGUAGGAUAAGGAAAAACCUUUCCCUUUAGGAUUACAACAUUUAAUAGGUAAUCAACUCCUAAUAGGAAUAUAAGAGAUAUUCCAAGAUAUAAUAUAAUUUACACAAUCACAUUCAUAAUCUAAUAGGACUGCAACACUCCACCUUGAGUGUGUAAAUACUCAAGUAAAUGGCACAUCAGGUCUUUAGUGAUGAAGCAAGUAUAGUUAAUGAAGUCAUCGACAUAAUAAGCGAAUGCGAGUCUCAAAUCAGCAGAAGAAUGCAUAAAAAGUAAAACUCACAAAACCUCGCUAUGGUAAAACCCAAGGUGGGAGAAAACCCAUAGACUAAGGAGAAAAGUGAGAAGUUACAUUAAGUCAAAACUAUACAUCUUUUGGAUGCAAGUAGAAGAACUCACAAGGGUAUGAUUAGCCCAGGAUGGGUGCCUCAUUAAAACUUAGUUAGGUAGCAAAAACCAGUGGGAAAAUGCUCCUAAUCGUAGGGAAAAAAGUACAUUAAGAUCAAGUGAGUAUACUUCUGGAUACUCCUCCUGAAUUUGACAUAACUUCCAAAUGAGAACUACGAGCAUUGCAUAUGAAUAGUUAGGCAUACCAAUUCCUCGGACAAGCUUCUGGAAGGUUGACUUCGGCAGUGACGUCGUGUAGAGGUCGGCAAGGUUGUUUGGGAUCGGUUUGCAUGAUUUCAAUAUCCUGAUGCAUUGUUGAUGUAGAUGUGGACGCAAUAUGUCUUGGUGUUAACUUCGUUGAUGUAUCAUGGCUUGGUCGGGUUGAUACAUGCGGCAUAGUCUUCAUGGAUCGUCAUCAAGACUUAACGAUGGAUGAAAACACAGCAAAUACUUCGAAUAUGCUCAACAAGAACUACUAACCAUGUCUCACUUGUGGCAUAAUGAAGUAAGGUGAGUCUUGGAAUGAUUCAAAGAUUUCACAACUAAGGUCAUAUCAUGGACCUCUAAGAUAUUGCAAUAUCCCUAACGGUAAAGACAUAACCAUUUUGGGAUUUUACCUUGUGCGGGUUUGAUAAGUAACCUACGUCAGCAUAACAAACAAGGCAAGCAUCAUUCCGAAGAUCAGGGGGUUGGAUCCGCUAAGAUGCGUUGGGAUUUGCCCAUGUAGUACUUUCAGGAUACGUCUUUAAUACCAAUUCAGUGGAUGCGUAUAAGCACAGUGCUGCAUCUUUACCAAGUUCAACAGCGAAGGAGAUGUCAUGUCUAAAUACAAUGAGCUAAGUACAACGAAGAGCCAAGUUGAACUUUAGAUAUGGAAUUUUGGAAUCCAUAACCUCUUCAAGGGUUUCAUUUGCAUAUAACGUAUGGACGAUCAAAUGUAUACUCAAAGGUAACAUAUUUGGGGUGUAGUUCGACUGGUAGACCAAAAUAUUGUCAGAACAAUGCUUCAACUUCAAGUCAAGGCAUAAAUGAGUUUUCCUAAAAUCCUUCAUCUCAAAUUCCAUCUUCAGGUGCGAGACAGUUUUCUUAAGCUCUUCCGAAGUCUUAGUGAGAUUCGUGUUAACGACAUAAACUGUAACUCUAGUAAUUUGGAAUAAGACUUCAUAGUUUAACACGCAAGGGCAUAAUUCAUAUCCCUGACUGAUCAAAUAAUCACUUAGACGGUAUACCACAUCCGUCGAAUUGUAAGUUAACACCUCACACAAGUUAAGAGGCUGUUCUGUGGUUUUGGGAACUAUUUGAACCAGUCCAUGUAAUUCUUCGAGAACUUACAUGUAAAUCUCCGUAUCUAUAUCCCCAUGGAGAAAACACUAACCACAUUUCAUAAUGUUGCUAUCAAUCACAGGAUGUUUUAAAAGAAACCUUGUGCCGUAAGGCGUGCAUCAUAUCGCACUAUUUCAUUCAUCUCAUAAUGUUUCAUUUCCCAUUUGUAACACAAUAGGGUUACCUUGGGCAGUGUAGGAAUGAUAGGUCCAAAACACAGUUUGGUAAGGAAUUUGACAUGGAUUGUAACUUUAGUUGUCCAAUCAGUUUUACGUUGUCACUUAAUCAACGAAACACAGUUCGAUAUCGUCGCUUUUCAUUUAUGUCGGUAGCUACUAUAUAAGUGAAAACAUCAUCGAUGAUAAUCUCAUUUCAAUUCCAUUUAGCUCAUCCAAACUAGUAUAUUGGACUAAGAACUUUAAGUCUCGGGAGAAAUUUGGAUUAAUCUCAUGAGAUGGAAAUGAUUUAAGACAACGAUCGAGUUUAGAUUCAUUGUUGUGCCGUAUCUUCCUCUUCUAGAGAAGUGAAUCCUACGAACUGAAUGAUCUGUCGUGCUCUAGGCCAAGACAGAUUGAUUGGCUAUCCGCUGGUGUACCGAACCAUCCAACAAGGGUGGCACACCCUCCAGGGAUAUUGACUCGAGACGUCCAUUAAGUACGUCUAUCCUUGCAGGCAUGUUUACAGCUGGUAUAUGAUCUUGUCACUUUAGCUAGAUCAAAGGAAUACGUCUAGAGCAACAUUCUAAAAACUAGAAUUCAUCGCACUUGUGUGGUAUGAGGAUCGAGAUGAGACAUAGUGGGCAACGUCCAUGCAAAUUCAUAUUGUUUCACAGGAACGUUGACAUUCUUAUAUCCCCUUAAUGGCGGGAUAAUUGUCUCAUUAAAGUGACAACCUGCAAAUGAGCGGUAAAGAUAUCGCAUGCAAAGGCUCUAGAGAGCGAAGGUGAAGGAGAAUCAUGAUCAACAAAAGAUGCACAUCCUUCUUUGAGGACCCAUGGUGGUACGUUGCGGCGGCGUAACUUAGCACAUAGAAUGCACACCCAAAUACAUAAAUACAAAAAUCGUUAGGUUCGUACCCAAUAACCAACUGUAACGUCAUAUAGGUUGGGUGGCAAUGGGCCUCAAGGCGGACCAACAUAACUGUGUACAAGGAUUGCAUAGCCCUAGGCAGAAACUGAAAACUUGGUACGUUUACCAAAAUUCGGGCAAUCAUUUAAAUUGCGCUUUAUGAUUACUAGGCGAGGCUCUUUAAGGUGAACAUGAGAAUUCAAUGUUUAAUUAUAAAUCCAAAAUACAUGCAAUAUUUUAUCAAAAACCAUCGAUAUAAACUCUUCGGCAUUAUCCAGUAUCCCGGACUUUAAAGGAUAAGUAGGGUGGUGAACCCUUAAUCAGCCAUGAGGUUUAGCGGUAAUGUUUGUGGACAAACAUGUGACCAGUUUGUCGAUUCAUCAACCAAAACUAGAAGUAUUUAUAUAGUCCGCAUUUUGGUUGGAUUAGUCCACAUAUAUUCCCUUGAAUCCACUAUGAAAAGAUAGUUGUGUCGUAUCUUUGCAAGGAAUGAUAUAUCAAAUCAAUUUUCUUAAUGAGCAGGCUUGGCAAAGUGUGCUUGUAGGCACAAAAUCCUCACUUCGGAUAAGGAGAUGCAUUGUAGCAUCAUUGUUCGACCUAAGUGUCCCAAAAAGUCGUGUCAAAGCAAGUAAACUGCUCAAUCAUCCGGCUCCAGGUCGACCAUAUGUGUUGUGUGCCCUAGUUUGGAGACAAGUCAUUGGCCCCAAAUCAAAGCUUCAGGCUCAUUUGUGGAGGUGGUGCAAAGAUAUUUCACUCUAUUUUCUUCAGUGGUUUCAUUUAUGAUCAUUGUCAUCUCGAAUAUCCUUAAAAACUCAUCGUCAAGGAGAAUUUAAGGUCCCUUAAAUGGUAAUUGAGUACCAUUCAUACAACGAGGAGCGUGCCAAUGCUCUUAAUCACGUUGGAUAAACCUGAAGUCGUUGUUAGAGAUGUGAUUUAGGUCUAAAGUUAGUGUGCGUAGUACGUAUGCAUCCAGACAACUAAUUUUCCCACACUCCUACCUAAUCACGUGUUUAAUUGAAUCGGUCACGUGUAUUAAGAAACAUGAUUCAAUUAACUCAUAUUCGAGGAAAAUAUCAAUAAGAUUAUCCAUAAGUAAAACAUACACCAAACGUGAAUCCAAGAACAUGGAAAAAUGUUCACAAAGUAAAUGGUUUACUAAGGGGAUUCACCCAACAAGGCCAUCCAUGUCAAAUUUUUGUUCUUCCAACGGUGUUUGGUAGAGUAAAAUUGGUCUCACGUCUUGACUACUAGAAUGGUACUCCUUAACAACAUUGGUAGGGGCACGAACAUGUGCAUAACCAAUGGUCUAUUCUAUCGAGAUGGAAAUAGAUUCUGCAGGGUUAAGGUUCAGGAAUAUUUUCCCUUAUUCUUGAAGUUUUAGGUCUUGGUUACCAAGGAUCAUGCUUCGGGCAUGAUGCCACACCUUGGCAGGCCCUGAUUCUACCAUAUGUUUGUGGUAGUAAUCAGAUCCGAGAAUUUGGUAACUUCCGCUUUCUACACUAUUGCUUCAGGGGCGAGUUAGAAACAUAGAAGGACGAGAAAAGUAUUCUCCAGUCAAAAUUCGAUCGGAUUUAUAAACUUCAAAAUUGUACUCAUUCAUAGACGUAAUCAUGGUGUGCUCAGGCAAUGUCUUUCAUGAUUAAACAGUCCAUAUGAGCAAGCUAAAGAGCCAUGGAAUCCUCGAUCGGGAAGUAUUUCCAUUUGUAAUGCUUUGACCAUAAGUCUUCGAAUGAAGAUCAUGGUGGAGGCUUAUUCAGCUUUUCCAUGUCAUUGUUAGCUUCCAUGGUUUCUCAGCUUCUUGAUAGUCAAGUGGAGAUUCACAUCUUGUACCCCACAUAAAGUGGUUUCUAUUAGAAACGUCCAAAUCGAGAAAAUCAAAUUUGUGACGGUUUGACAAUCCACUGAAUUGGAUGGAACAAGAUUGUGAAUAGUGUUAUGGGAAUGAAUCAUCCAUAAGCAUCAAGGUUAAAACAUUUGAGUUCUAAGACAUGGUUUUCAUGAAAAACGCUAGGUUUUCAUAGGUGUAUUGUUUUAUGAAAUCUUUGGGUUUCAAAGGCACUAAAUUUGAAACUACGGGUUCAAUUUAGUUUAUGAAUGUUUGGUUCAUAAAAGAGAGGUUCUUGCAAGAACACAGAAUGCAAUAUACAACUAAGUGUAGUGGAUUUGUGUUUCUUUAGGAACUCAAGUAUGGGUGUUUCGGGACUACAAAAGUAUGUCAACUGUUCAAAGUAUAAAAAUAAAUUAUUGAAUCGUUAAUGUCCAAAAGUGAUCUUCAGGUCAAUAAUUUUAGAUUCAUUAUCAGAUUAAUGGAUUACAUGUCACUUUUAAUUAAUUUAAUAAAUCGGGUCAUACAAGGUCGAUUGUAGAAGCAAAAUAAUAUUAUUGGAUCAAAAGUAUAGCCCCAAAAUAAUUUUGGCUAGGUGUUGUGGGUAAAGGGCAUGGGUUAGGUGCCUUAAGCAGAAAAGGCAGGGUCCAAAAAGGGCCUUGGGAGUGACUGCAAAUCAUAGGGGUGAGGUGAAACCCCAGCCACAGCUGGGUUUCAAUUUGGACUGCGGGGAUGGCAUGGGAGCAAGCCCAAAAGCUUGCGGGUUACAAGGGACACCCCAGCCGCAUUAGGCUAACGUCAUGCAUGGCAGGCAGUGGGUCGUGACACAUGGCCCAGCAAGCUAGGCUUGCUAGUAAUGGAUUGAAGGCCAGGGCUGCUGCAUAAGCCCAGCAACCAUAAGGGUUGCGGCAUAUAGGUCAGGGAAGGAAAGCCUAGCCAACUGGGCUGGUUAGAUGGCUACGAGCCAAGGUCAGUGUGCAUGGGCUUGGGGCUUUAGGCCUUGCCGAGGUGAAAUCCAGGUUGUGGCCUGGUUGUUGUGUCCAUAGUGAUGCGGUGGGUGUGCCGCACCAUACCCAAUUCCCUUUUCUUUCUUUUUUCAAAAUCCCUUAGGGUUUAGGAAACCCUAAAUAUGCUUCUAAUUUAUUUGAUAUAAUUUGACUCACAAAUUCCACAUAACAAUUUAAUUGUGCGAUGCAUGAAACAAAUAUAUAUAUUGACAAAUAUAUAAACAUAUACAAUAUAUAUCGGAAAGAAAAUAUAAACAUAGGGGUUCAUGCAUCAUAGGGAAUGUUUUCAUACUUCAAGGUCGUUUCAAAUAUCUUACUUUAUUUUAAGCGUACCUGAUUGGCAAAAAAAAACAAAAGCCUUUGAAUUUGUAGAAGAUCCAUCUCAGAACGCCGAAAUUGCAUCUCCAAUGCGUUGUAUCACGUUCAACACAAAAAAAUUAAAUUGAAUCAAUAGCAUGUAGAUCAAUUCAAUAAAAUAAUAAAUUACUCAUAAAAAGAAUGAUUAAAAUGUAAUACUCCCCUGAUUGAAGAAUAAACUCUCUUUAGUGCAGCGUCAAGAGCGUGCUGAUAACGUGUUGUAGGCAUAAUUUACUGAACAAUUAUGGAGGCCAGAGAGAGAAGGAAGGUGCGGCAAUAGUAGAGAGAAAGAGAGAUGUGUAAUUGUUGGUGUGUUCUAUUCCAUCUCAUUGUGCCUUUAUUUAUAUUAGUAUGAUAGGUAAAAACUUUUCUCUUUAGGAUUACAACAUUUAAUAGGUAAUCAACUCCUAAUAGGAAUAUAAGAGAUAUUCCAAGAUAUACUAGGAUUUACACAAUCACAUUCCUAAUCUAAUAGGACUGCAACAAGGAUAUGAUAGAUUUUGAAGAAAAAUAAGGCAGUAUGUAUAUAAAAUUACCAUAAUAAUAAGAAGAUGUUAGCAGUCUAUUAGGGAAGGAAACAAAGACAUUAGCAUAAUAUAAUUAUGUGGAGACUAAAUACUUUAUCAUUCGUAUGACAAAUAAUUACAAUAAAUGAAAGAACUAAAAUUAUAUUAAUGUUUUAAUAACAAAAAAAUAUUAUAUUGAUUUAUUUGUACUUUCUUUAGGGAAGAAUCUAAAAAAAAAACAAAGCUGUAAUAUACUUAAGAUAUAGGGAACUUUAACGAAAAACACCUGGUACUGUUCACUUUAACGAAAAACCACAUUUUUACACUAAAAAGUCAACCUUGGUACUAUUCACUUUACCCUUUAUUUUGUCCUUAUCAUUAAAACUCAAAGUUUUCAAGCCCUUUUCAUUAGUUUUCCUUAAAAUAUAUACAGGAUAUGCCUCUUUUUGAUAAAACGCACGUUUUGACUUUUAAAAAGUACAACCAAUUUUAACGCACGUUUGAAUAUAGAUUUAACAAAAAUAAAAAAUUGAGAGCGUCUUCUUCACACCUCUGAACCAGAAACUUAUAACGCAGCCGCAAACCUACGCUGCUACGACUGCAUCAGAGUUCAACAAGUUGAUCAAGAUCAGCCUGGGUAAUUUGAAUAAAAAAGGGGCCGAUGUAGCGCAGGCUGAGCAACUGUACGGUUUCCCUCACGGAUUUGCAGGUUUUCCGACGGGGGGCGGAUCCAUCGUUCCUGUGCUUGAUUUCCGGCGAGAAAAGGUGUGGCCGCACCUCAUUACAGCUUCGCCCCUGCCACAUGUCAUGUUAUACUUGGAUAUUAAAAUGCAUAUGAAACCAUUGCUGGGAGUGUUUAGUAGUUUGUCAUCUUUCCACUUUAGGGCAUUAUUAAAGCUAAAAACAUUAUAAUUAGCUUUGGAAAAAUUUUAUUUGAACCUAUAUAAGCUUUUUCUACACCCAACUUAAACUUCAAAUGUAAAUUAGUUUUUACCUUAUUGCAUAAUUACCAUCAAGAACAAUAUGAAAUUAACAACAAAAUUAAAAUUUAUCAAUAAACCCACACCUAAUAAUCCAACAUUACUAUCACAUCAAACCCAACCACUAUGCAACUUAUUCUACGAUCAUUCUAGCUAAAACCUUAAAUGCUCUUAUAGAGAAAAACAAACUCUUUUAACCGAUAGAUGAUGAUUUUAAAGUUUUAUAUCCACCAAGGUAUGAAUCGAUAUAUACAAGUUUUUUCAUUUCAAAUCCAAAGCAUAAUUACUAACAGAUUCGCUACAUGAUUUUUAUUCAAACUUAGAUUUUCAAAGUUCAAAGGCGUAGGUAUCAAUGUUAAGUGUGGUCAUUGUAAUUGCUAUUCAACCAAUUCUACAUGCAUAUCCCUACAUUUGUUCGUUGAAUUUUACAAAAAUUUUAAAUGCAUAUUCAACAAAUUCUACAUGCAGAUUCCUACAGGCCAGGUAACAUAUCGACCCUUGAUUUCUCUGAACUUACUCAAUUGAGUAAACUCGAUUUUAUGAAUAAUCACUUCGAUGGUUUCUUGCCAAUAAACCUUUACUCAUGCAAACCAUCAAAGCACUUCGACUGACUGCAAAUAAUCUUGAGGGACAAAUACAUAUUGAGAUUUUUUGUUGAAAUAGUUGCCUUCCUCUCGCUUUCUGAAAACAGAUUGACCUAUGCCACCAGGGCAUUUAAGAUAUUGAUGGGUUCAAAAGCCUAGGGGUACUCAUUUCAGGCAAUUUUCUCAGUGAAGAAAUGACAGAUGGUGGUAUUAUGGUUGCUUCUUCUGGGUUCUAAAUCUAUCUAUUCUCAGCUUCUAUAGGUGCCAAAGUGCAUGGUUGUUGAAUCUCAAGAAACACAAAGUUAACAGACUCACUGGCCCGGGUUGGUUGGGGACAUUUUAAAUUUUUUUUUCCUUUUUAUAUUGAAUAAUAACUUAAUUUGAGAAGAAUUUCCCAUGGAGCUUUGCAUGCUACAAGCGUUGUUAUCACAAAAUGCUGCAAACCAAACAGGCUAUAACUAUGUCGACUUUCCCAUUUACUACCAACAGGUUAAUGCGUUUGUUUUCUAAAUGGGUUAAGAAAAAAGUUAUAUAUUGAAUUGGGAUUAAGAGGGUAGUUUAGGUCAUAAAUUUUGAGUUUGAAGAGAUAUUGAUUGUUUAAUUAAAAAUAAUAUGGGUGCAGAGAAUAAGUUGGGUAUAGAUAUAGGUUAUAUGGGUUCAAAUAAAAUUUCUCUUAGCCUUUCGAUUAGUAUGGUACGUGAUGUUUUUUUAAUGCGAUAUGAGAAUAACUUUUAUAAAACGGGUUAAUUGUUGCGUGAUGGCUUUGAAGAAAGUUGAGACUCUGUCGUAAAAUCAAUUGGCAAUAUAGAGAAUAAUUCAUCACUUGUCAACAUGCAAAGUCCCUUCCUUUCUCGAUGUAAAAUUCAUAAUCUCAAUAUGCCCCCUCAACAUAGUGAUAUCUACAGUUAUCCUUUAUCCAAAGAGAUCCCCAUUUUUGGGUUAAAAUGGGGACUAGUAGUAGGGUCCACUUCACGUCGAACUUCAACGAUCCAAACCUUCUAUUUUGUAAAUCUUGAUUCAUAAAUCAUCCUUCUAAAAUUUCAAUUUAAUUUGAAACUAUUUGCCUAUUUAAUUAUAACGAUGAAAUUUCAUUAUUUCUUAUAUAACAAAGUGUUCGUCAAUUUCUUUAAAACUCAAUUAGAUGUCUCAAAUAUUAUCGAUUUGGCUAAUAUUUUACAAAGAUGAUCUAUGAGGAUUCAUUCCCUUAAAGUUCUCUGCAAUAUAUAUUCAAUAAUUAACAUUAUCGUUUGGACUAAUUAUUGUUGAUCUGGUCUUGCCUGAUGUGAAAUAUGCAUAAUGUUGGACGUGACAGAUAGACUUGGCAUUAGUGUCGUGUUUUUUCGUGUUCGUGUUGUUUUCAUCGUAUAUCCGAUAUCUUAGCGGGUCAUGUCAUAUAACACUCUCAUAAAGUAAACGAGUAAUAUGACCCGACCAUAAAUUGACCCGUUAAUAUUAUCAAGUAAUAUGACCAGACCCGUUAUUCGUUAAAAAAAAUAUAUUUUAAAUCAUUAAAUAAUGAAUUAUAAAAAUUGAAAUUCGGUAAAUAGAAUAAAGCGUAAACGAGAAUCGACGGUUAAAUUUAAAUCUAAGAUUUAUGGAUUAUGAUGUUGGAUUUCGGAGUUGACCCUUUCACGAAAGUUGUAAAGUUUGUAAUUAGGAGUGGUUAUGUGUGUGUGUGUGUAUUUUACAUUUUUACACUCCUACAAUAAUUAUUAUUAUUUUUCACUCAAAUAAAAAAUAUUAUUCAAGAGAUUUGGAGGGUUUUUGUCACAGCCUGUCCUAGGAUAAUUUUAUCGAUGGUGUAAAAAGGACGGUUUUACCCUUAAACGUGGGUAGUGGUGUGUGUACAUGACUUAGUUUAGGUCCAAGUUAUUUUCCUAAGUAUGUGGAACUAAUUGGAAAUUAAGUUGUUUUGUUGUUUUGGUUGGUUGGAGUGGACAACUUUGGAUCACACAAAAACACAUACACACACACCCAUGCCUUCUCUCUCUCCUCCCUCUUUCGAUUUUCUGCAAUGUCCGUAUAAACCGUACGGACAACACUAAUCCGAACCAUUUAGUCAUAGAUUGAGGUUUUGGAAGCCAUCAUCAUCAUUCUUGUGAGUCUAGGAGUUGAUCCAUACUAUUUUUAAAACUUGAAACCCUCGAAACCCGGGAACCCGAAAUCCCAGUUUGAGGUAUUGUUCAUGCACAAAUUAUUGCGGGGUUUUUAGGAGAUUUUGAACUUCUAGGGAGCUUUAGAUCAUCUCCAUGAAGCUCGGAGAAGAAAAACGAGGUGAAUUGGACGUUAGGAAGCUCGGGAAUAGUGAGUUGCAGGGGUGACCAGAAUAUCAUGAUUUUUCAGGCAAGAUUCCAUCGUUUUUGGGGCUUUAAACAGGUAGGGAAUGUUCUACAAGUUAAGAGCUUCAAUUUGGUACUGAUUUCAUGAAAUUUGGAUGAAAAACGACUAAGAUAUAAAGGUUUAAAGUUUUUCCAGUUUUUCCGGUGACGGUGACGGUCCAACGAACCAAGGAAGGAGACGACGGAAUAUUCCAAUAGCGUUAGGUUAGUUUUAACGGUAUAUGCUACUUUUUAACGGAAUAUUCCCUAACGCCAUUAGGGUUACCGUCAGUGGCACGGCACGUGCCCGCACGUGUGGCCAUGCCUUAGCCGGCGCGUGACGACGCAUGGGGCAUCAAAAAUUUUUUCUAAAAAUAUGGGGGUGUUCGUGAGGUUGUGUAGAUCACGUUGGUAUAUUUAAACACCCCAUUUGAGCAAUGUAUGAGAAGUUAUUAGCUAGUAUUGGUUAUGUGCUUUAAAUUAAUGUUUUUUUAUAGCUGUUUCGAAUAUAGGGGGGACUUAUCCCGAGGAUGAGUGCAAUCAAGGGCGACUCGGGGGCUAUGACCCUUCGACAUACCAGUGAGUGGGCUUUUGGUUUUCAGUAUAUACUUAUAUACUUGAUAUUUUCCCAGAAAAUGCAUUUAAAUAAGUUAUGAUUUGAAUUGCCAUGCCAAACGUUUUAUAUUUAGAAUAUGCAUAUGAUGUUUGCAUAUAUAUAUAUAUAUAUAUAUAUAUAUAUAUAUAUAUAUAUAUAUAUAUAUAUAUAAUUGUGGUGCUGAGGACGCUCAGGUAAGUCCUAGGUGAGUUUAUGAAUUGUGAAUAUGAUUAACGGUUGUGAUUAAUUGAGAAACUUUGAGCUCAUAAACCUGCACCCCGGUGUUAAUGAUUUAGCCAGAGAUAUGGCACAGUCCUGUUUAUAAUGUCACCUCCCGCACCCUAUGCUCAUAUUGGAUCCAAUUUAGGUGCAAUCUUGUCAUAUAGACCAUCAUAAAUGGUUCCAACUCGUAGGUGACUAACGAUUUAUCGCAUAGCUAUCAUGAGUGCGUAGCAUUGAGCAUAACUAUAUUACACCCAGUCUUGUCAUAUAGACCUUUUCAGUGGUUCUGACUUGUGUGCAGUGUAGUGCCGUAUAGGUCAUUUGUAGUGACUCCGGCUAGAUUGACUAAUGAGCUAAGAAUUCAGCCGUACAGACUUCUGCAGGGGUUCCGGCUAAUGUGUUGUCUUCCAUGAAUUUAUUUUCACAUGAGUUACUUAUCUUGGCUUGGCAUACUUAUGAUUAUGAAUAUGUGUAGCAUGAUUUGAAUUCAUAUAUAUAUAGAUAUAUGUAUAUAUUUAUAUUCUAUUUCUGGGAAAAGUAUACAUGUUUUACGGUGAGGGAUUAGAGCAUUUGAAAGUUAAAUGUGUUCUCAAAACCUUUGUUUUUGCCCACUCACGUUUUAUGUUUUUGCACCCCUCCAGGUUUUAGGUAGACUUACUGUUGGUGGCAUUUGAGGAUUCAGCGGUUAUGACAAAAUAUAAUAUUCGUAGGACCUCUUCUGGUACUGUAUAACUAGUACUUGUCUUACUGGACUGCACCUAGACUUUCUAUGCUCUGAUUAGGAGUAUUUACACUUGUAUCUCAUUCCUAAUACUUUCCGCUUAUAAGUGCACAUUAGUAGCUUUCGGUUUUUAUUUAUUUGUAUAUUUCUUAUCCUUAUCGCUUCCGUACUGUGCACAUGGCUACGUCACCCUCACGUGACGACCAGCACACCUUGAUUUUUGGUCAGGGUGUGUCAGUUUUAAAAAACUAAACAACCAUGUAAUCAUCGUCUAAGUGUAGAGGACCCAACCACAAGCAUUUAUAUAUACUUUCACAUUUUUAGACUUGUACAUUAAUAAUUAUGAACUUUAUUUAUUUUGAACUCCCUUAAAAUACUAUUCAUGAGGGUUUGUAUGAUUUUAAAAAUUCAAACGACGAUGUACCCAUCCUCAAAGCAUAAAUGAUGCAAUCACGAGCGUUUGCAUAUUUUUUUCACAUUUUUCGCUCUUGUAAAUUAAUUUUUUUAAUGUGUUUGGUAUUUUUAAAUUACUUGAUAUUUUUAUUUUUAACGUGCCUUAUAAUUUUUUUUAUCUCAUUCUUUGCCUAUAGUAUAUUAUAAUAAAUAAUAAAUAAAUAAAACUCAAAAAAGUUUAAAUGAAAUAAUUAUACAAUAAUACAUAUUUAAUAUACAAUAUAUACAUAAAUUAUAAAGUAUUGUAUUUUAUAAUAAAAAAAUUUUUGGUGACAUCCCGCCAUGAGAUUUAUUGUAUUUUAUUCUUAGUAGUAGUGAAAUUAUCAAAAUACAUUUGAGAUGCCACGUUGACCUUCCACGUGGACCUCAAUUUCCAUUUCACUUUUCCAGUCUUAUUUUACUAUUUCCAAAUAGCACUCAUUUUUACAAGCACGUGGCCGUAGACGAAACUCAAUUUGGAGUUUAUAAUGAAGAAGUUAUGUUUGAAACAGUGUAAAUUUACCAAAGAUCAAGGUUCUAAAAAGCGCUAGGCACUAGUCAGGCGGCGGGCUAGCGCCUAGCGCCUAGGCGACUAGGCGGGGUCUAGGCAGGCGCCUAGGCAGAUUUAGAUAAAUUUAUUGUAUAUCUUGUAAAUAAGUGCAUAUUGACACUUACAAAAAAUUAUACUUGUAUGAAAUUCAUGGAUAAGAUAAUAAAAUAAUGAUAAAAUGCAAAAAGAGUAUCCAACAAUGUCUCUCCAAUAGAUAGGAUUUUUUUAUUUUUUAAUGAACUAGAUUGUAUAAGAUGAAAGUUCAUAUGAUAAUAAGUACGUAUUACUUAAUAAAUAUUUUUUUAAAUAUUAUUUAUUAUAUAGUGAACUUAAAAAAAAGUAAAGGUGUAAACAUUGUGGUUUGUAGUCUGUAAAAAGGAAGGUGGGGCGUGCUGCACCAAAAAGGGGUGUGGGGCACACCACACCAAUAUUCAAUGUAUGUUUGACAAUUGAUUAGAAGGUAAUUACUUUAAAAAAUAAAAUAAAACAUAAAGUGGAGUGGACGUCUGUCACAUGGGGGAGUGGGAAGAGAGAGAAACACAUUUCUAUCUUCUUCUUCUUCCUUUCUUCUUCUUGAAACGCAGAAAGGUAGAAACAGAGCAACGCAGCUCUCUGCAACGACAAAAAGUUUAAAACGCCCAGACCGCCUAGGCCAUCGAGUUGUCCACCUAAGCUACCUCCGCGCCCGCCUAAUCCUUUUGUUGAUUUUUCUCCCGAUUAUGGGCUAAUCGGAGCGGUUGGCCACCUUGUAACACCUAGGUGCUGCCAAGGCCGAUUUUUAGAACACUGCCUGAGAUAAAUUCAAAUUUAAAAAACUGACCUCGUGCAGUGUGCAUCACUGCUUUGUUCGGCCUAGGAAAAAAAAUCAGCCUUAAAAUGAUGAGGGAUGGCCAUGCAAGUGCUUACACAAAUAUUUUUAUGGGUUUUUUUUUUUUUUUUUUUUUUUUUUGAGUUGAGUGAUAUUGUCAUUAAGUUAGAAAUUAUUUUGCUACUGACGGGGUUCGAACCCACACCAUCAUGCAAGGGUGUCAUUCCUCUUCACCACCAUGGUAGAGGGCCAUUUGCAUUUUUAUGGGUUUUGAAACCCACACCUCUAUGGCAUCAUCCAUCAGACAUCAUUUUUUUUUCUUUUUUUUUUUUAAAUACAUUUUCUUUCUCUCCUUUUCCCUCUCUCUUACACACAUACACGCCAUAUCCCGUCAUUUUUCCCUCACGAUUCCGUUUUCCCCUAUUUUUCCUCAUUUCAGGCGAUUCUCUCUCUCUACCCACUCAACCUUACUCUCCCCCUUUAGGUGAACAUCACCACCACCAAUCCAAAGCUCCAUCGACACCUCCCAAAUUCUCCCAAAAAUUAUCUAGGACCGUAUGCAACUCCUUGGUGGUGCCACACUAGGAUGAAACAAGGUUCCCGUUUUGGUGUUCGAUGAACUUUGGUGAAUUGAAACUUCUCGGACCAUGGUAAGCUUGGGAUUUCUAUAUGUUUAAAGGACAAAUAUCUAACCCACCAUGUUUUCCGGCAAGUUGUAGGAUUUUUCAUGCCAAACCUGGCCAAACCCUGUUGAUUUGGUUGAGUUUAAAGGUGUAGGACAACUUUAAUCUCUAGGCCAGGGAUUUGAGCUUGCAUGUUCGAAUCCCCUCUGUUCAGAAGGUUCCAAGUCGGGCAGUAGCUUUUAGGCCAUUUUUUGAGCAGCUCUAAAAUGGGUAUAAUCUUAUUCCUCUCAUCCUAAGCUUCGUUUUGAUAUAUUAUGAGUUAAAUUUGGUUGUGUAACGGCUCCGAAUGGGGCAUUUGAAUUUCUUCCUAAAAUUACGACGAAAAUCCUGUUCUUGUGCAAACUGGGAGAAAUUAGAAGUAUUAUCAGUUUUGUGAAUAAUGGAGUAAUUUUUCCAUUUAGGAGUAGACCAUCAGGAGGAGUACCGCAUGCAGAAUAGUUGGACGGGUACGACCUACAUGUAUUUGUGAGUGGGUCUUUUCGUUUUUUACGUAUAUAUAUGUAUAUGUGAUUUUUCUUAACAAUUGCUUUUAUUACUAAAAUGUGACAUGCCAUGUUUAGUUUUACAGAUAGACUUUUUGUACACUUUAUAUUUUUAAUAUUAUUUGUGAGUAUAAACUUGUGGUAUGAUAUCCUUGCGUUUUAUCUGCUCAUUAUUACAUGUUUGCACAAUGUUUCUUAGUUAUUUGUACUGUUUUGGGCCAAUGACCAGCUUCACGUAUAGUUCACAUGCACCAUUUACAUACACUUUGGAUCCAGAGUUAGGUGCCAACCGUCCUUUUGUGUGAUGUUUUGGACUCGUAUGUGAUGCGACUAGCGCAGCUCACGUGAUGUAGUACCAGAAUGUAAAACCUACACCCAGCUUGUUCCAUUGUUUGAAUAUAUCUACAAUGGACUUGUGUGCCAACGUAAAUUAAUAAGCAUUGAUUUCUUGUGUUAACAUUUUGAGAUUUAAUGUUGAGAUACCUUAUCGGUGUACCCUACAUCUUUUCACUCACUUCUGCUGCAGGGUACCGUAUUACAUACUAGUAUUAUAAUAUUUUUGAAAAAUCAUAUACUUGUUUUACAGCGAGAUGUUACACUUUUCGAAAAGGUUUUACAAACUUUAUUUUCAGGCCCACUCAUCCUUAUUUUUUCGCCCCUCCAGGAUUUUAGUGGCAAAGGUUUCAUGACGAUGAUGAUUGUUGGUAAAAGCUGUUAUGUAGGAGACUCUUCCUUUCAGUAUAAAUGUCCUUACUAUUCUUUUACUGCAAUUUAUCUAUACUUUGACAUCACUUGUGUAAUAUAGAUUCAAUCCCGCUUACAUGCGCACUCUAAAUUAGUUACUUUUAGGUUUUAAUUUUUUCACAUUUUUUCACAUCACUAUGCUUUUGGGGGUCGGCCAUCACAUCGCGAUUUUGGUGUCUACAUGGACAUGCUGGGUCGGGGUGUCUCAUUUUUAGUAGUUAAAAAAAUUUAAAUCAUCAAAAUAACUUUUUCCUUAACGUGUCAAAAUGGGUUACUAACGUGUCACUCUUGUGUAAACCCGUUAAGACCCUAUUAUUAACGGGUUAUUAUCAUGUGACACAAUAAUGAUCCGAUUAGUUAUUGUGUUGACUCGAAACUCGUAUUUUCGUAUCGUUUACGUGUUGUGUUAACGAAUUGUGUAAUAAAUUGCCAUAUCAAGUGGGAGGGGACAGACAAAUUUAUUUCAACAUUUGACGCGUCAUCUCAAUUGGAGUUUGAUGUUUCUAACAUUCGCCAUUAAUCCUGGAAUUAUCAUCAUACAAAUCAUCAUGGAUCUGGAGCAUUAACAAUAUGAUUAUGUAUUCUUUAAUUUUUGUUUCGAAUAAGAGAAAAUAAGAUGCGUUUGUACACUUACAUAGGCUGAGACUUUUAUCUUUUUUAUUUCAUUGAAGUCCUAUAUUCAAGAAUACCAAGACAUCUAGUUUUUCCUAGAAUAAAUUGCGGUUUGACCUCUUAAACUAUUACUUAGUUGAAAUUAACCAUCUAAACUAUUAUUUUGAUAAAUUAGCCCACUGAACUAUUUAAAAUCAAUCAAUUAACCAUUGCCGUUAGAUUGUGGAAUCAAUUCCGUUAGAUUCAAAGCCAAAUUAAUCAUUUCCUCAUCAAUUGUUAUUUGUCAGUUAUAACCAUCAAUAAAAUUUUGACACAUUGACACAAAAUAAUUCAAAAACAUAUAGCAUAACAAGAAAACAUAAAAGAACCAAAAUUUUACAUAACAGACUAUCUCACAUUGUCAUUACACAAUGUCAUAAGUUCAUUAGUGGUUAUAGUUGAUAAGUAAGAAUUGAUGAAUGACAGACUAAUUUUUCAUUGAAUUUGACCAAAUGGGGGAUGGAAUCUACUGACAAGGGGUCAAUUGCAUAAUUUCAAAAUAUUCAAGAGGCCAAAUGGCAGUUUACCCUUUUUCCUACUCAAAAUUUCCCAAAGUAUUAUGGUUUUAUGAGACAAGCAAAUUGUGUGUGGAGUAGUUCAUACACAUGAUAUCUACUACAUGAUAACUAUUUAAAUUACAAUUAAUCCCCGUAUAAUUUUCUUCAUUAUCAUUACUUAAGGGAUCCUUAAGCACAGAUUGAUGAGAUUUAAAUCCUAUAUUUAUGGGGUCUAAAAUCCUAUAUAUUAUUCAUGAGACAGAAGUUGACCACACAAGUAUUUUCCCCGGGACCUGGCUUCUUUGCCCUCCCAGUUCUCAUACAUUCUCAUCCCCUCCUGUUUGUGCGGUCACGAUUACGUCAAGUCAACAUUUUAUAUCACUAUUGCUUUUUGUCUUAUUAUCUCUAUAAAAAAUAAUUAUAAAAUAUUAACGUGACUUAACCAUGACCGCACAAAAUAGAAUGGGGAUAAGAGUGUAUGGAAACUAUAAGAGCAAUUCCACCCCUAAGGACUUUACGCCAGCACCCAGCGCAUUUAUCCACUCAAAUGAACAGUAACAGACUCCAAUGAACAAUAAUAGGCCAAGGCAUCUCCACCCCUAAAAAAAUGCGCUGGCACCUAGUGAAAAAAUGCGCUGGCACAAACGAUCUCCAUCCCUACAAAAUGCGCUGGCACCCAGCCCAUUUAAAAUAUUUUUAAAUUUUGUCUAAAAGAAUAAAAAAAUAAAAUAGUUUUAAUUUCGGAUAGGAUUUUUAACCAAUCUCGUCACGCCACAUGUCAUUAUUUGAACGUACUAUUUUGUGAAUAGAUUUCCGCUAAGAUUUUCAACCAAUCCCGACACGCCACGUGUCACUUCCGUUUUACAAUAAUUUAGCCAAGAUUUCGAUAAGAUUUUCAACCAAUCACGUCAUGUCACGUGUCAUUAUCUGAACGUACUAUUUUGUGGAUAGAUUUCCGAUAAUAUUUUCGACCAAUCCCGACACGCCACGUGUCACUUCCGGUUUACAAUAAUUUAGCCAAGAUUUCGAUAAGAUUUUCAACCAAUCACGUAGUGCCAAGUGACAUUGUCCAGAACCAAUCGGGUCAUGAGUAGUGUGAACCCAACAUUCACACAACAUAACAUCUUCAAUAAGCUUCCACGAAGACAUUUUUUUCUCUUAAAGUGUAGAAAAUAUUGAAAUGUGGUGUAAAGGUAGAAGAUGAGGGUUAGGUAUUUAUAGGAAAAAAAUUAACAUUUUUCAAAAUUUUCUGAAUUUUUUUUAAAAUUUUCUGUAUUUUUUAAUAAUUUUUCUGUAUUUUUUAAUAAUUUUUAAUGAAUUUUAAUAUAGUUAAUUAAUCUGGACCGUUGGAUUUGAAAAAUAUUCAAAUCCAAGAGCUAGGGACUUGCCACGUGGCCAACGGUCAUAUUUAUGACCGUUGGGCUGUUUUUUUUUUUAUUUAUUUACUUUUUGUGAAAAAAACGUGGACCGUUGAUCUAUGAUCGGACGGUCCAUUUUAAAAGUCAAAUUUAAAUUUUUUUUACUGUUGGAAAUCCAACGGUCUACAAAAAAUAGCCGUUGGAAAUCCAACGGCACUGAGGAGGGCCACGUAGCCCUAUUCCUGGUGAACACAAGUGGGCUGACAAGCGGGCCCCCUGCCUACAACCCGGUCUGCUACUCGCGCACAAGCGCGCUUGUGCUGCACACGCCUGCUAAACUGGCCGGCCUCUGGGUCUGUCCGAAAUGGGCUGGCCUGUUGCCCGGCUUGGGCUGUGUGCCAGGCUCUUUGGCAGGCUGGAGCAAAUUGACAAGGAGCUGGGCAGUUUUUUGGACUAGGUGCUGGGCAAUGUCCACUGGGGUGGAAUUGCUCUAAGGCAGAGAAGCCGGAUCCUUUUCCCUGAUGGGAGCCAACAUCAUUCUCACUGUUACUAGUAGGGACGACGUCGCCUAGCUUAUGACAAAGGUAAUUCAUGGAUAAAUAUUUGCUGCCUUUUUAUUUUUUAUUUUACUUCUUGUCAGCUAGUAGAAACAUCUCUACAUAUAAAAUGAGGAGAAAGUGAAGUUUUCAAAAUACUAUAAAAUACCCUCCAACCAAUAAUUAGAGAUUUAAAAUACUACCAUUUAAUUAGUGAGGGACACAAUAGUAAAUUUAGAACAAUUUGAAUGAUAUUAAAAUCUUAAACAAAAUAAAUAAUUCGAAAAAAAGAAAACCACAUUUGCGGUGUCAUGGCUUUGCUUCAUUUUUUUUAACAAAAACAAUCCUAAAAACAUAAUUUAAUAUAAAAAAUCAAAAUACCGCGCACGUAUGUGCAUGAUAAGAGGCUAGACUAGAUAUAGCUAUUAUUCGUCUUCCAUAAAUUCAAAGUUAGUGGUAGAGUUGUCGAAAUGAGCUUGAAGGGGAAAUGUAUGUUAAACUAUUCAAAAAAACAUAAUGUUAGAAAGAUUAAAUUUAUAGAUAAAAUUUACAAACUAAAUAAUGUACCAACAAUGAGAAUGAGAACUUUUAUGACUUAAAUCAUAAUCUAAUCAUCAAUUUUCAUAUCAUUUAGUUUGCAAAAGUUUAUCUACAAAUUUAAUUUUCUUAACAUUAUCUAUUAAAGAAUGUAUACUUUUAAUGAGUUGAAAUAGGCAGAAACACAGCUAGAAAGUUAGCCCAUCUGGUGAUGUUUUUUUUUUUCGGUAACAAAUCUGGUGAAGCUUUCAUUUUGAUAGAAGAGAAUAAUCAACAACAACUCAAACAAAAUAGGAACAAAAUGGUAAUUUUACAUGUUUUAAAUCAAUAUUCAAGCACACAUCGUGGGGAGGGGGGGGGGUUAAUUAUUCAUCUUUUGGUUUUGAAUUUUUUAUUUAAAAAAUAUGCAACCAGAUUUAAAAAGACAACAACUACACCCGACAGAAUCAGAAAAGCGGGAUAUCUAGGACCCGGAUCUGUAACACAGUCAUCCCAUAAGAUUUCCCUUAUCAACAUGUGUAAAAUGAAGACCCAGUUGGGGUUUAUCCCCUUAAAAUAACCUAAUUUGGUGGUACAGCAUUACAUACCUCCUUAAAAUAACCUAAUUUGGUGGUACAGCAUUACCUACCUCCUUAAAAUAACCUAAUUUGGUAGUGCAGCAUUAGACCCACACAAAACAUAUCAUAUUAUAUGACGUGCUCGUUUUCAUUUGGAAAUUCAAUAGAUUAUAGACUCCGCAUUAUCCGGCACCAUAUUCAAUCAAAGCAAAAAUUGAGUACUACUAGACAAACAAAAGGAAACCAACUCAAAGCGGCAUAGGGUCGAAAGCGAAGCAAAAUGCAAUAUCUUUCAUAAAUUUCCCCACAUGGGUGAAGUCGUCUCCUCUUUUGUAAAGUAGAUCCACAAUUAUUGGACUAGUAGAAAAACUACUUGCAUCACAAAACUUUAGGUGAAGAAGUAAAUUUUGUGUUCAAGUACACUUUGCGUGACAAAAAAUAUGUAUGCCGUUGUGCAAGAUGUCUAUCCAAAAAAAAAAAAAAAAAAAACCAAAACCUUUGCGUGACAAGAAAGUUUUUUGGGCAAGGAUGAUUGACUCAAUGACAGUUUUUGUUCGUCGUUAAAGACUCAAAAAAAUUAGCGGUAAAUUGAGAAUUUGAUGCUCAAUUUUGUGCGAAAAAGAAUUAUAUUGCGCAAUGAAUAGUUUCGUUGCCUCGAAAAUAGUGGUCGAUGAAUGGCUUUCAAACCCCUAUUGGACGACCAAUGAUUUUCUAGCUAAUUAGAAUAAUUGAAAUUAAAAUUUUGUAGAUGUCAUGUUUGAUAUUACACACGAUUCCGCUGCUGCUCUAGCAGUUUCUCCAUAUGGCUAGGCAUUCCACAAUGCAAUAUUGAUAUGUGAGGGAGAAGGAUCACAGACAGGUAAAACCCAAUUUGUAUGGAUAUUACGGUUGUUUUUUGUUGCAAAUUUAAUUUCAUAAUUAUAAUAGGUCCUACACCAAUGUUUACUUAUCAUAUACCUCUCAAUUUUCGGCUAUGGAUCAAAUAAAUUAAAGAAGAUUAAUAAACAAAAAUUAAUAAAAAUGUGUAAAAGCAUAAAAAAAAAUGUGAAUAACACUAUCCUAAAAGUAAAUGUUGAUGAUUAUACUUGGUUAUUUGAUACAAGUAUUAGUCGGAUGUGGACAACAUGUAAAUGGAUAAAAAUAUUUGCUGCCUUUCUAUUUUUUAUUUUACAUCUUGCCAGCUGAUAGAAACAUCUGAGCAGAGUGUCAUAAAAGCAAGAUAUCUAGGACCCCGGAUCUGUAACACUGUCACUGCGUAAGAUUUGCCUUAUCAACGUGUGUAAAAUGAAGACCAAAUAGGGGUUUGUCCCCUUAAAAUAACUAAUUUGGUACUACAGUAAAUAGAUACAAAUCCAGAACCACACGAAACAUAUGAGAUUCUAUGACGUUUUCGCUUUUAGCACUAGACCUGGGUGGUAUGGGAAUGAGAUGCUUAAAAAAAAAAGCAAGUAUGAAAAAAAGCUAUGAGGAUUUUAGGUGUUUGGUAAACUGAAAAAAAAUGGCUUAUUUUGGAAGCUGCUGUGAGAAUAAGCUAAAAUCAAAGGAAAAAGCUGAAGCUGCUAUUUGCAGCUUUGGAAAACUGGUUUUUUUUCAAAGCACACGGAGCUACAGUGCUCCUUUAAUGAAAAGACCCACUAUCAGACUGCUUUUUUUUCCAAAAGCAUUUUUACAAAAAAGUUUACCAAACACUUUGCUGAUUUAUUUCACAGCCGCUUAUUCUCACAACACAACCGCUUAUUUUCACAGCAAUUUUUUUUCAAAGCACAGCAAUACCAAACCAGCCCUGGCAUUGCCAAUAUAUGUGGAGCCGUCUCCUUUUUGUAAAGCAGGUCCACAAGGACCAAAAUCCUGGUGAAAUUAGGAACACGCACGAUGACAAACCCUUGCACGGCAAUUGGUCUAAGAACUCCUCGUUUAUAUCCUUCCUCAUAUCCAUUACUUGUUUGUUAAAUACAUCAAGCGUCUCUUGCUCAGACACCUUAUAUUGCUCCAUAUAGCAAUCAAUACUAGAAAGUACAUACCUCCUUCUUUCUAAAAUAAGUUUUGGGUAAUAACCUAAACUUUGAGCAAUUUAAAAUUUAAAAUUCAUUAAAUCCAAAGGCUGAGAUCGAACAUGAUCAAAACUACCAGUAAAAAAAUAAAUAAAUAAAAUAAAAUAAAUAAAUCUAACUUUCCAAAAUUAAAUCCAACUGCUAAAACAAUUAAAAAAAUGUUUAAAUAAAUUCACAUAAAAACUCUAUAAAUACAUGUUUCAUAGAGUCGGUUUAGUGAAUUUUUAAUUUUUCUUGGAAUCCAAAUAUUUAUAGGUCAAAAUGUGCAUAAAAAUAAAUUAUGAAAAUCAACAUAAAUUUUAUUUUGAAAAAAGUUACCGAAUUUUUUUUAGUGUAAAUUCAUUUUUUAUUAAUCUCAAGCUAAAUUUUUAACCUAAAACUAUUGGAGCAAAAAAAAACUAUUUCUGGGUUACAAAAUUUAGGUUUUAACCCAAAAGUUGAAGAUGAUUUAAAGAGAAAUUUAGUAACUUUAAUACAGCUUAUAUUAUUCAAUGUAAUGAGAAUUGUACCUUAUGCCCCCAAUGUCAUCCAUGAGCCUAAAAAUGAUAUUGGAAGCUCGAGAAUUUUGGGGUUUAUUGCCUAUUGGACAAGCACUGAAAUACCUCAUUCGUUACAUUAUCUUCCAUGUCAACCACACAUACAGUUGAAAGUAAGGUGUUACCAACAGAAGCCGUUGCAACGUGUAUAUACUCCAUGAUUGGAAUGAAUCGUUUGCAUAACCAUCUAGGCUCAUCAAAGUAAGCUUGGGCAGUAGCUUUCCGCUGUAUUUGACAAUGACAUGUGUGAAAACUUAAACUUCGUUAGUUAAACUAGCCUUAAAAAAACGUAAAGUUCAAUAGUUUGAGAAGAUAAAAACCGAAGCUCUUUUAAUACCCAUAAAAUGAAAACUAAAAACUAAAUUUUGAAAACUCAAAAAGAAGCUUUUAAUUUUUAAUUUUUUAUUGAACUCUGACAAAUAUUUCAAAUUUUUGUCAGGUAAGCAUUGUUUUCAAAUUUUUGUUGGGUAAGCGUUGUUUCUCUCUCUCUCUCUCUCUCUCUUUGCAAUUCAAUCUCUCUACUCUCAGCCUUCUCUCUCUCUCAACUCGCUCUCAGUCUCUUUAUUCUCUCUCAAAUCUAGCUCUCGACCCCUUGUAUGCAGACAUUUUAUCAUGCACUUGUUAAUCCUUUCAAUGAAAUUGAGGAAGAGAUGGUAAUAGAAGGAAAGUCAUACCGAGUUCGUUAUGCAAAAGAAGUUGUAUUUAACACAUGCAUGCUUUACUAGUUUGAUUAACUUUUACUUUUUUAGUAGCUUUGGCGUUAUAACUAUUUCGUUUUUAUUUUUCACCUUUUUAAAAAAAAUUGCAAUACUUGUUUAGUUUAGGUUUAGGUUCAGAGUUUAGGGUUUAGUAAAAAAAAUGAAAAAUCGAAAGCUGUUUUUGAGUUUUCAAAAUUUAGUUUUCAGUUUAUGGGUUAUCAAACAAGCCCUUUUUUUGUUUGAUUAGUUUGGGACCAUAAGUAAACGAACAGAAAAUAAGGAGUAAGGAAAUGAUAGGAAAUAAAAAAGGCAAAAAGAGAAAGGAAAGAAAAAAAUUGUUUGCUGUUGCUUUAGGCCCACACGGGCAAAAGCAAAAAAUGGUUAAGUUUGUUUUUAGGUCCACACGAGUUGUUGGUAUGUUUGGAAUUGUUUUGUGAUCGUUAUUUGAGUGCUUGGAUUGUGACCACUCGAGUGAUAGUAUUUGUAUUGUUUGUUUGUUGCUACAAUUGAGAUAUGAAAAUCUCGUUUGUUUAGUGACUUGUUCUUUCUAUACUCUCAACUCUAGCCAGUCGGAACCAGAAUCAGUUUACCAGUAAGAAUCAAGAAUCAAGUCAAGUUUGCAAGUUUGCCAGUCAAGUCAAGAAUCAAGUCAAGUUUGUCAGUCAAGUCAAGUCAAGUCAAGUUUGCAUGCAUGCCAGUCCGCCUAACAGAGCCAGUCCGCAUCUGCUUGUUUGCAAACCCAUGUCGUAUAUCGCCAUGAGUUUGACGGGGGGUGUUGUAAAAUAUUAGUAUAUUUUGGUUUAUUUGAAUGUUUGGUUUUCUGGGCUUAGCCCGUUAGCAUUAAGGUUUUGAUUUCUUACCUUUUAGGAUUAUGGUUAGUUUAUUAUAAAUAGUGUGCUUGUUAUUCAUUUGAGAAUAAGUCAUUCACAAUGCAGUCUCUUAGGGUUUUGUAGCCGUUUCGGCAUUCUCAGUUAGUUUAAUAAUAUUCUUAUUAUUUUGUUAGUAUUGUUCGUUGCGCACUCUGAUAUUCAACUAUAAGGCCAUCUCUGUCCAUGCAAUAGCCUGAUGAACAAAAGUUACAAAGAAAAAUAACCAUAACAACACGUGCCGACAAAAAGGAAAGAAAGAAAGGAAAAAUAACCUUGUAACGGCUCUCAUAUCACCGUGCCAAGACGGCCUCAAGAGAUGUACAAACUUUCUUGUAAUCAGCAUGGGCAAUUGCUGCUCCAAGGAGAACCAAAGCGUAGCCUGUAUUACGAAAUUUGUUGGCAGAAAAAAAGAAGAGCGAGAUGAUCAAUUGAAGGUUGGAUCACGAGAGGAGGUCGCACCAUUCCUCCGGAUCUCGUCGGGACAAUUGGCAGAGAAUUGUCGUUCUGGGGAAUCAUCCUAAGCAUAUAAAUUGUUGGCUUCAGGAAAAACGUAAUCUUUAUAUAAAGCAAUACUUUGUUUAAAUCAAACCUUCUAAUUGCUUCUGUAAAGAUGUCAAGUUCCUUGAGAUAUCGUUGGUAUGCAGACGGGACGGGACGGAACAGAAUGGGACGGGACAGAACGGAGAGGGAGUAAAGAUGCCCUAAGAUGGAAACAAGGAGGAAGAAGGAGAUAGAGAGAUUAUAAUUUUGUGUUCCACAGAUGUGGAACGAGUCGUUCCAGGGAGUGAGGCGGAAUAAAAAUUCACCCAAAAUUCGUCCCGUGGAACAACGCGUUCCACCCGUUUUAGGUGCAUCAAACAUGAAACGGAACAUCUUGUCCCAUUUUAUUUUAUCCCAUCCUACGUACCAAACGAUACCUGAAUGUACCAAAUGCGUUGUAGAUAUCAUCCAUUACUGUCCCCAAAGCAGCGACUUUUUUUUUUUUUUUUUGUGGAAACCAAAGCAAUGACUUUGGCAGUAACUUUUCCGGCGGUAGAGUAAUGGUGUUCAAAAAAGUACUCCAGUUGUCCAAAAGUACAAUUCAACUAUCCUGUCUCUUGCAAACGGCAUCUUUCUUUCAUACUCAGAGUUCUUUCCACCGGAAAAAGAUCUUCGCCGAAUUCUUUUCCAAGAAAUCCGGAGGAUAUCGUGAUCUUAACUGUUUAUCGUACAUCGUAUAGUCAUAAAUUAUUUUAAAUUAAAUAUAAAUAGUAUCUAACGAAAACUGACAGCACGAUAUACGAUGAACGGUCACGAUCACAGAAUCCCCUGCAUGCCCAGGAAAAGGAUCCGAUGAUUUCUACCAUCUAAAACAUUUACAAAUUGGAUCUUAACUCAUCCCUAUAGGAAUAUUUUUCUUACAAACUAUCUCUUAUGCUCAAAUAUAAAAUAAAGGGUAAAUUUUAGUUUACUACCCUUAAGUUUCGUGGUUUUCAACAUUUGGUACAUGAAAUUUUUUUCGUCCCAAAGUCAUACCUAUAGUGUUAAUUUUGGAACAGUCUCAUAAAUUUGUUAGUUUGGUUGUUAAGUCUCCCGUUAACUGAUGACGUGGCACUUAUGUGGACAGUGACUGGGCACUACAUGUCAUUAAGGGGUCUAUGUGGAAUAUUUUUUUAUUUUUUAGAAAGGGUCCACGUGGAAAUUUAAAAUUCAAAAAAAAAAAAUUCCCUCCCAAAAUUUUAACCCAUAAUUGUGUAUGGCCUUUUUUUUCCCGCCACAAUUUUUUGAAAAAAAAAAUCAAAUUAAAUAGGGAAAAAACAAUUUUCUAUUCCAAAUCUCCAUAUUCAAUUCCAAACAAACCUUUAAUUCUAAAUCUGCAAAUUCAUCCUUUAAACUACCAACUACCAACAAAGUUCACAACAAAGUUUCAAGGAUUCACAACAAAGUUCAAUUGUCAAGAACUUUCAAUUCACAACAAAGAUCAAUAUUCCAAGUUGUACACCCUACAAUUCACAGGAAAGUAUCAAAAGACCACAACUUUAACAACUAAUGGGCCAAGGUGUUCUUCCAAAAUAUAAGUACACAAUUAAACCAAAAUAAGAGUACCAAAAACACCAUAGAUCUGUCCAAAACACUAAAGAUCUAUUCUAAAGUUGUUUCAAAAAAAAACUAAGGGCAUAUUCAUCUAUAACAAAAUGAACCCUUAAACAACCUAAAACAUUAAAGCAAUAUCAUGGAACAUUCCUCCUCAUUUUCUGACCUCUUGCAGUAGACUUUGAAGUGGUUUGAGAGACUUGAGUUGGCUGAGAUGAAGGUUGUGGAGCUUCUUAAGUGCAUGACUGUGAUGCCUGAGAGGGUUGUGGUGCCUUAGAUGUUGAGGCCUAAGUAAUGAACACAUAAAACAUUAGCACUCACAGAUACUACACUUCACAAAUAAAAAAUUCACUUAAUAAAUGAAAAAUCAACAAAAAAUAUCAAAAUUAUACCUUAUUUUUCUUGCUUUUUCUUCCUUUUCUAGUAGCAAGAGGAGGAUAAGUGAUUGGGCAUCUGGCCUUGUUGUGUCCCGAGCCCAGCUUCAUUAGCCCGACUGUCGGUGUGAUAUGUUAUAUGUAUAUGUUUCUUCUCUGGCGUAACCCAAAGUCGUGCAGCUUCACCUUCCGGUGAUGGACCCACUGCAUAUAAAUGUAAGGCUGUGAUGCCAUCCAAAUACAUGUAAAAGGGAAUAUUUUUGUUUGGAAUGUAUGAGAAUGUGUGCACUAAUAACUGAUAUAACAGAAAUAUAGUUAGAGGGGUAUCAUUGUAAUUGGAUUAUAUGGCUAUGUAAGGGAUUGUAUAACUAUUAUUUUCAAAAGUUCCAUUGUAUAAAUUUUCUCUAUUCAAUUAAUACAAUCUUUCUUGUUUCUCUCUACCAAUUCUUUCCCUUCCUCUGUACCAAUUCUCCAUCUUUUGCAAUGUAGUUAAUAUGGUAUCAGAGCCACCAGGCUCAUGCCAUGGAUUCUGGUGGUUUCUCUUCGUAGUAUACAUUUUUUUUUUGUUCAGUUUCUCUUCAAUUUCCAUUAGAUUUUUCGUGCUUCUGCGAUUGUUUGUGGGUUGAUUUUUUGGCGUCUAAGCAUGCACCAUCCAAAAUGAUAGAGAAUUGGAGGGACAGCGAGCGGAAGAAGAAGAUCAAGAUCAUGCCGAGGAAGACGAAGGACCAGAACGUGAGCGAGCCGUGCCAGCGGAGGUGGUGAAUGUGCGGCGGCAUCUCUUUCAUGUUGUGAUUUGGUAACGGGGGAAUCCUCUGGUUUCUUGGAGAGAUAGGUUGUUUGGAUUUCUGGGAAAUAGGUCAUUGCAGGACUAAUUCUUUGCACUGUUGAUUGAGAUCUUGGAUUUCUGAAUACUAUUUUCUGCGAUUUUGAUCCCUGCUCUGUUCCUUGGUAUGGAAUAACGUUUAGACCUAUGUGCAGCCCAAGUGCUUGACGAAUUGCCCAGCUCAGAAUUGCAAAUCUGGGUUGCUCGAAGAUUGGGUAUCUGGGUUGCUUGUCGAUUGGACGUCUGGAGUUCAGUGCUAUUUGACGAUCUGGUGAUGCUUGUGUGGUGAUUCAGGUGAAUUUGUUUCUAUUUCUCGAAUCUCGAAUCUAUAUGCUGCUUAUUCUCUGAAGUCGUGGUAUGUGUUUGUUCUUAAUUUCCUGGUUUGUUUGAAGCAAAGAUUUGGGGGUUCUUGAUUUCUGGAUAGAAUUGUGAUAUGGUGAUGUCUGAAAGGAUCAUUCUUUCUGUAUCUUUUCUUGGAGUAUAAUUCUCUAAAAUUUGUGAAUAUGUUGGGAUUUAUAGUUUGUGGGUUUGAAGAAGAAAGUAGCAGUCUUUCUGUGGAUUUUUGGAGUGUCAUUCUCUUGAGUCGAAGUGUUUUCUGUGAAUCUUGGAGUGUCAUUCUCCUGAUUCGAAGCGUUUUCUAUAGAUCUUGGAGUGUCAUUCUCCUACGUAGAAGUAUUUUCUGUGAAUCUUGGAGUGUCAUUCUCCUUAGUUGAUUUAGUUUCUUGGAGUGUCAUUCUCCUUAGUUGAUUUAGUCUCCUUAGUUAACUUAGUUUCUUGGAGUGUCAUUCUCCUUGGUAGAUUUAGUUUCUUGGCAGUAUCAACUAUGGCUUCUCAGUUCACAGUCGAAAACUUGUUGGGUAUGUUCAGAUCAAGACCAGAUUUAAUUGUAUUGUUAAGCUCAUUCAUAAUCAGGAAAGCCUUGCAGAUUCACAUACAGUGAGAAUUCGGUCCUGCUCCGGAUGUAAUACUAUCUACAUAACGUGUGGUUGAAAGGAUGAUACAGGGUUCUGUUUUACACCAGUUGGUAAUGUACAUUUUUUUUUGAGUGGCUGAAACUCUUUGGGAAGAUUUGGUGAUAUGGCGUUGCAGUUGAAAAAGGGGUUAAAUCAGAUGAUAGGCUUUGUGGGUACUUACUCUAUGUCAUAUCGUUGUGUGAAGAAACUGGGCAACAAGAAUUUUCUUUUAAUCAGAAAGCAUCACCAAAGCUGCAAUUUCUGUGGAGAUUGGUUGUAGCAUUCAAAAUGGUUCCUGAAACAUUUUCAUCUCACGCAUUGCUCUGUUAGUGUUUCGCCUCAUCUCACGCAUGAGUUCAGGGUUCCUUGCGGCUUCCAAUGUCUGUCGGAGAAUGCCAGGAUAGUUUCAGAUCAGUCUCAAAUACUUGGAUAGUUCAAACUUCACUUGGACACUCCAAGUUUAGUUUGAGGGGGGAGUAAUAACUGAUAUAACAGAAAUAUAGUUAGAGGGGUAUUAUUGUAAUUGGGUUAUAUGGCUAUAUAAGGGAUUGUAUAGCUAUUAUUUUCAAAAGUUCCAUUGUAUACAUUUUCUCUAUUCAAUUAAUACAAUCUUUCUUGUUUCUCUCUACCAAUUCUUUCCCUUCCUCUGUACCAAUUCUCCAUCUUUUGCAAUGUAGUUAAUAUGCACCACCAUGAUUUGUGCAGCAACGAACUUCUCUCUCUGAAAACUCCAUUUCCCUCUCUCUCUAGAAAUCUAGCUUUCUCUGAGAUUGUUCCUCUCUGUGAUUGCUUAUUUUCCUGUGAAAUUACAAGUUCUGAUAUGAAUUCUAACAACAACCAAUUGAGCACUUAUCAAAACACCGCGCCUAUUUCUAAUGGAAAAUCUGGCGGAGAAGCCCGAAGUUAUAAGAAGGGAAGUGAUUCAGAAUUAUGCCAAGGGCUUUCCUCCUAUAUAUCUAGACGUUGUGCAGCACUCAGAUCUUUCAACAUUGACAUGGGCUCCAUUAAUGUUCAGGUACCCGUGGCAUGUAGUAUUGGGGAAUCUAGGCAAGCAAAACAUCAGGGUGGCUGGAGACGCCAUGCAACCCAUGACACCUGAUUUAGGACAAGGAGGUUGCAAGGCAUUGGAAGAUGCAGUGGUAUUAGGCAGAUACAUAGGGACAUCCUUCAUACAAAAUGGAAGACUUGUGCCAAAAGAGAUGGACAAUGACAAUGUGAUUGGAAAAUGCGUUGAAGAAAGAAGGUGGCAUGUCACGUUGUUGAUUGCAGGACACCAUAUUUAGCAGGACGGGCCAGCAGGCAUGGUCCGGAUGGGGUAUGAAGUUCUUAAGGGAUGCCGUAAUUUACAGGUUCAUUUACAUUAAAAUUGUAAAAUUUACUCGUUAUGAUUGUGGAGAGGAUCUAAGUCACAAAUUUAUAAUGUUACAGUGUAUUUUGAACAAUAGUUGAUAACUUGACAGCGAAGAUGUAAUCUGAGAUGAAUAGCUUAAUAAGCAGUACAAACCAAUUUUAAAACAAAAAAAAGAGCCUCAACGAGCCUCCAAAUGCGUAAUGGAUACUUCGUUGGUAGAAGAUGUUUGGUUAUUUGAAGACAGACCUGCUUCAUAUGAUUCAUUUUCGAUAAAGAAACCAGGCUGUUUAGGCUGAGCCAAUGCACCAUCACUUCCCAACAUUAUAACUACAGAUGCCAUGCUUGGCCUAUCCUCAGGUUCAUGUUGCACGCAUAAGAGACUAACAUGGAUGCAACGUAACACUUCCGAUAGAGAAAACGAAUUUCCUAAACCUGUAUCAAUCACUUCCAAAGGCCUUCCUUCGUUCCAUAAUCGCCAUGCCUGAAAAACGUCAAAGCUCCAUCAUUAAGUACACAUUUAAUGGGGUCCAAUAUGUAAGAAAAAGAAAUUUUAAGCCUGAUACUUGCAUGUCCAAUAAGGUUAUGGCUGUUUUUAUUGUAGAAUCCCUUGUUUUUUGUUCCGCUAAUGAUCUCUAGCACCAGUAUACCGUAGCUAAAGACAUCGGAUUUCACAGAAAAUUGUCCAUCAACGGCAUAUUCAGGUGCCAUGUAACCGCUGUAGAAAGUAGAAACAUCAUUAGAAGUGAGAACAAAAUAAACCUUGGUGAGUCCAUGAGGGUAAUACAAACUUACUAUGUUCCAACCACUCUGUUUGUAUUUCCACCAGCCUGAUCUCCUCCAACUAAUAUUCUAGCCAAGCCAAAGUCUGAAAUUUUCGGAUUCAUCUCAUCAUCAAGCAAUACAUUACUUGCUUUUAGAUCUCGAUGAAUAAUCCUUAGCCUGGAAUCUUGAUGAAGGUAUAGGAGACCGCGAGCAAUUCCGCAAAUAAUGUGGAAACGUUUAGGCCAAUCUAUGAGUUGUUCUUCUCUGGUUCUAUCUGUCAAGUUUAAAAAAAAAAAUAAAUAAAUAAUCCAACUUCAGUUCCCUAUAUGAACGCAGUUAGUUUUGCCUAAAUUUAUAGGGUUCCAAGGAUCCAAACCGAAAAUCGAGGAGUCUAGGCUUCCAUUGGGCAUGUAUUCAUAUAUCAGCAUUUUCUCCUCUCCAUGAAUACAACCACCAAGAAGCUUUACCAGAUUUCGGUGCUGAAGUUUGGCAAUCAGUACAACUUCAUUCAUGAACUCGUCCAAUCCUUGACCAGAACUUCUAGAAAGCCUCUUCACAGCAAUUUCUUGUCCAUCUGCUAGUGUCCCCUGAAAAUUAACACUGCAUCAAAUAUUGCAAAAUUCACUAUAGUGAUUCUUUGUUAUCCUGAGCCUUGCUGUAAAGAAAGUUACAAAUUUACCCUGUAAACAGGUCCAAAGCCACCUUCUCCUAGCUUGUUUUCGGUUGAAAAGUUUUCUGUCACACUAGCUAUUUCAUUCCAGUCGAAGAGUGGCAACUCUAGGUUCUCUUUUCCUUCCCCUUCAUUGCUCUGAUCUCUUUCUCCCAAUUCUGUUUUUUCUGUUGUAAUAUACUUCAUGUAAGCAAAAUGAAACUUAUAUACGAAGAUGCAAUAAAUAUUAGUUCAAUCAAUUUAAACUGGAACAAAUUUUUCAUCCCUUUCUCUCAGAUGCUCAUAUCGAGUAUACAAUAAACUAAAACCAGAAAGUGUUUAGCAAGGAUGGUCGGAUUAGUUUACUAACCUCUUAGGUUUUUCCUCCUUCGCCGAAUGUAUCCAACUAACAGAAUUCCUGAAAACAUUACUGUGAUUGCAACUACAACCAUCAAUGGUAUCUUCCAUUUACCAUCAUUUCCUUCUUCAUGGCUGCCGGAUGAAGUACCUGAGAAGGAAGGUGAACUACCAUUUAACUUUGUAGAAGCAAUUGUAAAUCUUCCCUAAACACAAUGGAAAAGUAUUUGAACUACAUGGCAGAUAAAUGCAUUUAACAAGCAGCUAUUGUUACUUCUUACCUAAAGCUAAUUCUGACGCUGACAGUCGAACAUAUAGAUCCGGCCCAGCAGUCACAAGCUCCCUGAUAUCUAGUAGAUCACCAAACCAAAUGGCACAGCCAGUACCUCCUCUCAUAUCUGAGCUCGUAUAAGCCGUACAAGAACAGUUGCCCAAGCAUUUUGCUCUGCAUUCGUUGAGAUUCAUACUUCGGUUCACCCAAGAGUGUGUAGUAUCGGGCAACUUUAGGCUAGUGAAAUUAAGAAAACCAUCCUUAUCCUUUUCUUGGCAGCUUAAAGGUUUGUUGCGCACACAUCCAAGAGACCAGUCGGUCAAGUUCCCUUUUUCUUGAGACUUAGGCCUAAAUCCUUUCAGACAUUGGCAGACCUGAUUAUUGUCAAAAGUACAUUUUCCAUUGGCUCCACAGAGGUGAUACUGAUCACACUGCUCCCUAGGCCUUGACGAAAACUGCCCCCAAUGUGGAUCUAUGGCAUCCCAAUAAUAGCGAGCACAUUUACCUAUGGUUUGGUUCAAAACUAUUCUUGAGAUUAUCUGAACUUUAUGUUUGUAUGUGUAGUACACUUCAUCGUCAGUGUACACAAAGUUGAAAGCAAAACGGGAACUAGGCUUUUCUGGCGCACCACAGAAUGUCAGGUUAUUCCAUAGGCUACUACGGUAGAACUUUGCAGUUCCAUUCCGAAUAAAUGCUUGAGGGUAUGCUUCAAGUUCCAUUUCAAUCCCAUAUGUGAUGUUACCUGGACACGGAUCUUCUGCAUUCUUCCAUGCUGAUAAACGCCUUUUUAGACCUGUCCUCAAGUCCCAUCCCAACUUCAUUCCCGGUAACAGUGUAUCGGAAGGAUAAUCGAAGCUUUGCCACAAAUAGGUUCCUGAAUUUCCAUCUUUCACAUCUCUUACCACCAAAUUUCCAGAAUCUAAUAGCUGUACCGUUGCACUUUGGGCGUGUUUAACUAUGUUUGUCGACCAAACAACACUCUUAUUCUGACCAAACAACACAAGAUUGCCGGUUAUGUCUAACAUUAAUGUGCCGGACGAGUCAUUGAUUGGUUUGCAUCUGUUUGCAACCCAAACAACAGCUCUUACCGGGACAUUCUUGAUCCAAAUUCCCAAGUAACUAUUCUUGGAACUACCUGGACUGAAGAAACCAAGCUCAAAGCUUCCAUCGUUUGAAACUAAGGUCGUUCCAUUACGGAUAGACUGCGACGGACCAAUGCUGUCAACUGCAAAGGAAAUUGUGGACAGCAGAAAGAGCAAAUUAGUACCGAUGAGCAGAAAACCGAAACCCCCCAUUGAAUUCUUUUUGUUCUUGAGCUCUCUCCCUUAAUGGUAAUGGUGUCGUUCAAGUUAAAGAUAUGGUCAAGAAGAGAUCAUUGUGGUUCAGUCGUUUUAAAUAAUUGUGCAAAAUUCAGAAAGUGGCCCCUGACAAGUCAUAACUAGAUUUUUUUAAUUUUUAAUUUUUAUGUCGCUUUCUGCUUCAUAUAUAUUAAUGUUAAUUAAUGGAUACAUCAACUCGUGAGACCCUACCAGUAGCAAACUGGUGUCAGGGAUUAACAGUAUUAUGCGUAAAUUAUAAUUUAUUUCUCAAAUCAAUUGCGAUUUCAUACAACAUCUUUAAAACAUUUCAAUUCCAUAUAUUUACUACUAUUUCAUUUCAAUUUCAUACCGCUGUUAUUUAACCUGUUAAAUCGAUCGUUAAUGAUGACAUGAUAAAUAUAUGACCCACUUUUUGAUGACAUGUCAAAUAAAAGUAAUUGAAUAUUUAAAAACAAACCUCCACCCAGGAAUUUGUUUUUGUUGUCAUCGUUCAUCCAGCACUGCCAUCGCCGAUUGGAGCCUCGGCGACUUCACACCAUUGUUACCAUCACUCCUCAACGGCGAGUAAUUCGCCUUUUUCUCCUCGAUUCUAACCCCCUUAGCACCACCGCCGUCGCCGAUUGGAGCCUUGCAACCCGCCCUCCUCAUCCUCAAAUUCCACGGCCUCGCCACGGAGGCUCCGGCGAUGUGACCUAUGGCGCAUUCAGCUGCAUAGCCGUUUGACGGCGGAGCUCGUCGAGAUCAGUGGGAACAGAGGGAAAGGGGAAGGUAUAGAUGAUGGUAGGUGGAAGGGGUGGGUGGGGAUUGGAUGUCCCGCUGCGAUGCCCGAUUCAAGACGUUUUAGGUUCAAACUCUCGCCGAAUCAGGCCGCAAUUGGAAUUACCCGAUUACACCAACUCCCGCCGGCCACCAUUCUUCCAGAUCCACGCCGCCAGCUUCGUCGAGCCACCCAUCCUCGUUAGAAAUCAAACAGCUAAAAUUACUUUUCUCCCAACUAACCUAAACCCUCGCCUUCGCCCUGCUAGCUACCAUAAUCACUGCUCUCACAAAUUAGUGAAAUCACAACCGCCGUUGAUUGAAAAAUUCCAUGGCUUUCUGAAGCAAAUAAAACUUGGGUUGCAUAGAGAAAACCCCAAAAAAAUCCCCAUUCAACGAAAUGGUUGUCCUGGAGACGAAAUCUCAAAUCCCCAUUUUUCUUAAUUCAAAGCUUCAGCUUCUCUCUUUAGAAUUAGAAAUGAAUAAAAAUGUAGACAUUGAAAUUUCAGUGAAAUAAAUAUUAAUCAAUAAUUAAAAUUUCAAUGUUCACAUGUUACAUAAAUUUUACGCGUAGUAUGUGACUCAACAAAAAAAAUUGAAAAUCAUCGAACAAGUCAUCAAAUAUAAAACGUGUCAACACCUGACAGAAAUUAUUUAUUUCAUCUGAUUAUUUAAAUCCAAAAAUCAAGUUUUGAAAUUCUAUAAAUAAGAAGCCAAGACAUUCAUUUUGAUUAACCAAUUCACUUUACACCACAAUCUUGAAGCUUUGAAACUCUAAAGCUCCGAAGCAAAUCCCGAAGGAUCAAGAAAGCUCUCUUCGUUCUUCGUCAAAUCCUCCUUCAAGACAAGCCCUAAUGGCCCUUGAAGAACUUCCUCUUUCAAGAUCAAGUCCCAAUGACCCUUGAAGAACUUCCACCCAUUCAAGAUCAAGCCCCCGACGGCUCUUGAAGAAAGUGUUUAUCGUUCAUCAACGUCCAUCAUCUUUUCAUCCUAAGAUCAAGCCCUAACGACCUUUUGGAUCAACAAUAUCAACAAAUCCGCACAAUCAUUCUUCAAGAUCAAGCCCAAAAGCCCUUGAAGAAACUUUCAUAAACUUUCAAGAUCAAGAUCGAAGGCUCUUGAAGAAACUUCCAACCGUUCAUCCAAGAUCAAGCCUCGACGACCCUUGGAUCAACAAAACAUCCACAAAUCAACACCUUACGGAGAUCAAAUCAAAGGAUCAAAUUUGGGAGAGAUUGUAACCCCAAAAUCAUUAAUACAAAAUAUUAUUUUGUACACGUGUUCUUAUCUUGUUUCAUCGCAGGAAUUUCCAUGUUUACAAAUUUGGCACGCCCAGUGCGACAAUCUUUACCUCUCAUCUCUUUCUCCGUUCAAGGAAUCCAAACAUACCUUAAAAUCAAUGGCAUCAAGCAAGGGACAAGCUAUUCUCACAACCACCAAAGGAAGGAUCCUAAGCAUUUUUACCGCAAAUGGACAAUCCAUUGGUGCCACAACCGCUCCUCAACAUGCCAUUUCAAAGUUGGUGCAGCUAAGGGAGCAAGGGGAGCAUCAAAGGCACGAGUCCAUCAUCAACCUGACCUGGCUGAGGGCACCAAAGCAUGGUGCUGAGGCGCACAAGAUGACAUCCCAAAGCGGCCAAUGGCGUUCUUCGUCAGCAUCUUGGAUGUUUGAAGGAAAGUCACGUUUAUUGGUUGCGCUAGUCAUGACCAUAGGUGUUACCUCCAUUAAAGAACAACUGGCUCAAAUGAAUGAAGCGAUCGCAAGGCUAACACGGACUGUGGAAGAAAAAGACUUGCAAAUUGUUACACUCGUCAAUCAACUGGAAGCACAGGACGACGAGAAACCCGACCCAAAGGUUAAUCCACUAAAGAGAGGAGCCGACGAAGAAGAGGAACCUCUGGUGGAGAAAGUCGAUGUGAAGCCGGAGCCAGACUAAGCAGCAGCACUCAUGGGAUUUCUUUCUAUUUAGCAGCUGCAGGAGAUGAUCAUUAACACCAUCAAGGCACAGUACGAAGGGAGCUCAUAUACCUCCGUGUUGUACUCAAAGCCCUACUCCAAAAAGAUUGACACCUUGAAGAUGGCAAGGGGUUAUCAACCACCAAAGUUCAUGCAGUUUGAUGGAAAGGGAAACUCUAAGCAACACAUCGCCCAUUUCGUUGAAACUUGCAACAAUGCGGGGACGAAAGGAGACUACCUCGCCAAGCAGUUUGUGCACUCGUUGAAAGGAAACGCCUUUGAGUAGUAUAUAGACCUAGAGCCUGAGUCUAUCAGUAGUUGGGAGCAAUUGGAAAAGGAAGUCCUUAACCGCUUCUACAGCACCCGCCGCAUUGUAAGUAUGUUAGAGCUGACAAGUACGAAGCAAUGGAAAGAUGAGCCAGUUGUUGACUAUAUCAAUCGAUGGUGCAUUUUAAGCCUCGACUGUAAGGACAGGCUUUCGGAGAACUCCUCAAUCGAGAUGUGCGUCCAAGGCAUCCAAUGGGGAUUACAAUAUAUCCUUCAUGGCAUCAAACCACGAACCUUUGAAGAGCUAGCCACCCGCACCCAUGACAUGGAGUUGAGCAUCGCCCAUCAUAGGCAAAAAUAACCGAUCAUCGACUACAAGAACGAAAUUUUUUUUGGGCCAAAGGUGGAUAAGGCUGCAUGGAAACCCACCAAGGAAGCAAUGAUGAUCAACACAGCUCCCGUCAAAAUCUCUACAUGAGGCAAGACGAUUCAAGCCUAAGCUUUUCGUGAUCAAGAGAUGCGUAGACGUAUUUUGAAAGAGCUUGAGGAGAAGACUUAUCUAUUCAUCGACUCUGAUGUGGUUGCCAUGUUGAAAGACUUGCUUGACAAAAAGGUGAUCGACCUACCUAAGUGCAGACGGCCGGAAGAGAUCGUACUGACAGUCCAAGGUAUUGUAAAUUCCACCGCUUCAUCAGUCAUCUGAUGGAAAAGUGCUUUGUGCUAAAAGAUCGUAUCAUGAAGCUGGCUCAGAAAGGAAUCAUCAAGCUAAAUCUUGACGAUGUGGUGAAGUCAAACUAUACCACUGUUACUUUCGACUCUUUCGAUUCAAAAUCUUCACCUCAACCGCUAGGGCAUGCUCCAAAACCAUGUCAAUCAAGUCAAUUAAAGUUGAAUGAUAGACCCAUAUCACUCCAAAUAAACUGCACAAGAAGCAUAUGUCUCCCCCACAAGUUCACCAAUCGGAAAUGGGGCAAAACAGCUCUCGUCAACCUCCAAAGCUACAUGAAAGUGUUGAGGAUGAUGAAAUUGCGACAUAAAGAUCGCCUGUUGCCAUCACGAUGCGCAAUUUCUUCCCCGAAGACUUCUUCAAUCACUCAUUCAAGACUGCUUGCUAUGAAGAUUGCAAGGAAUGCCUCUCUAAGAUCGUUUGACAAAUUCACAUGCUCCUCGUUUGCACGAGCCUAAAAGGCGACACCAAAGCUCCUUAUCCGGACGAGCAUAAAAGGUGACAACUAAAGCUCCUUGUCCACACGAGCAUAAAAAGCGACACCAAACGUUCCUUGCCUGCACGAGCUGAAACUGCAACACGGCACCAAAAAAAUGCUCCUGGCCCGCAAGAGCAUAAACUGCGUAUGGCACAAAAAAAAAAUAUUCCAGAAAAAAAAUAUGUAUUUGAACUACCUUAUGACUUGAUCUCUUCUUUGGAAGGUUACGUAGGCAACUCGAACGUUCAACUUCGAAUACAGUCAUGUCAAAAUAAAAAAUAAGGUUUUAUUAAAUGUUUGACUAUUGAGAGACAAUUUUAUUACAAAUAAAAAAACAAUAUUCUUUGUAUUAAAAAAAUGUACACAUGUUAAUGUGGGUCUUCCUACACUUAAGACCUAUGCCAAAUGAAAGAAACACAAGUUGAAGUCAACAGAAAAGAGCAGCCCAAAUCCAGGCCUAAGCCAUGCCCUUCUAACUUACAUCUGUGGCUGCAGGUGUAGGUUGUACUGUUGCUGCACUCGCUGAACUCACGAUCUCCGCCUGUCACCAGUUGUUGUGGCUUCUCAAUAAGAACUUUUAGUCUUUGUCUUUGGUGAUGGAUUUGGUUGUGCAUAAAGGCAUAGUCAGAAGGAUUUUGAGGCUCGUGACGGCGGUGAAGAAUGAGACAUUUGAGCCCUUUGAGCAUGCACUUCUGACUAUCUUGCAGUGCGCCGAGCUCGGGAGGCUGCAAAAGCUUCAAACACUAGAUCUUUACAACAACUUGAUCAAUGGAGAAAUUCCCUUCAUGGAGGUGGACUUUAAGGGUCUUGUGGCAGCGCUUGGUGGUCUGGUAGGAAACGCCCAGGUUGCAAAUAUGAUCCAUUCCUCCGUGAAGCCUAGUAGUGCAACGGGUGUGCAGUGGCUGUGCAAUGCUUGUGCAGUUGCUGUGCCUUAGAGGCGAGGACCUCGUAGAGCUCAUUGAUGUUGGGCAUGAGGUUGGUGCCGGUGAACUUCUUCUUGUUGAUGACUUUUACAGCGACGCUCUGGCCAGUGUGGACGUUACGUGCGUGGUAAACUUUGGCGAAAGAUUGCAGAGAAGUUGAAGGUGCCGAUGACGUGGCAGUGGUAGCCGGUGAUCCCUUCCUCCGCAAUGGCAGGCAGUGCAACGGGUGUGCAAUGGCUGUGGUCAGUACCUAUGCUCGAUGGUUGUGCUCGAUGCAUUCGGCUUGGGUUUUCACCCACAAACACAGCCUUGCCUUGGCACCAUGUGAAAAAAUGAAAAAAAAAAUAUGAAAAAAUGGAUGGUGCAUCUGGCACCAUAUGCAAAAAAAGAAAAGAAAAGAAAAAAAUAUAUUAAAAAAUGGAAGGUGCAUCUGGCACCAUGUGCAAGAAAAGAAAAGAAAAGAAAAGAAAAGAAUAUAUAUAUAUAUAUAUAUAUAUAUAUAUAUAUAUAUAUAUAUAUAUAUAUAUAUAUAUAUAUAUAAAUGAAUGGUGGAUCAGCACCAUGUGAAAAAAAAUAUAUAUAUACACACACACACAUAUACUGAAUGAAAAAAGCCUCAUUUAUUGAUUUCUCUAAAAAUUUACAUAAAUGUACAUUUUACAUGAGACAAAAAAAAAAGGGAGCAGCAAACAGGAAUGAGCCUUCACAAAGGUUGAUCAGGUGGUGCCUCAUCACUCGGUGGAACUCCAGGAAGAAGAGGCGCCGGAGGUUGAUUGUUUGGAGCCUCAACACUUGGUAAAACUCCAAAGGAUGAAGACAAUAUGUGCCUUUGGAGUAAAGCCACAAACAUCUUAUGGUCACUCUGAAUCCGACUUUCGGAUUCCUGCAGCUGGUCAAGCUUUCUCUUCAUGCUCGUUGAGUAACUAUUGGCAAGCAUGUGCAACUCUCUGUUUUCACGCUUAAGCCCUCUAAUAUCUUGCUUAAGACUCGCCACCUUAGCCAUCAAUGACUCGACUUGACGAGUUCGAGUAAGAAGGUGUUGGCCCAUAUUUGAUACGGAGCCUGUACACUGAACACUGAAAGCCAGAGAGUCUUGAACAACCAACUCAUCAGACCGCUUGGAAAGGAUCCUGUUGUCUUUGGGGGUUUGAAGAUUUCUAGAUACCACCGUAGCAGUUAAGUCAUUUUUCAUCACAGAGUCCCUAACUGUAAGAGGACCGUUAGAGGAUAAGAAUGAUGAGUGUCAUAUGUUGUCUGAAGAAGACAUAUCGACAUUUUCCCCAACAUUCAAAUCAAGAUGACGAUCGGAUGGGCAAGCCAUUUGCAAAAAAAAUGACGAAAAAAGAAAAGGUCGGGUAAAUCGAAUUCUGAGAAAUACAAAAAGAGGGAAAUUCCUACAUGUGGCAACUCUCUAAGCGUGUUUUUGAACACGAUUAAUGCCUCUAUAAAAAGAAGAACCAACAGGGCUUGUUCAAAAAUCGAGGAGGCAACAUGGCCGUUCAGAAAUCAAAGAGGCACCUCUCCCUAAAUUUCAAAAGUCAGGCCGCUUGUUCAGAAAUCAAAGAGGCUCAUUUCUCCGAAUUUCAAAAGCUGUGUCGCUUGUUUAAAGAUAGAAUAGGCACCUUUCUCUGAAAUUCAAAAGCCGGAUUUUCUGGGAUAAAACAUGUCGGCACAUUUCAAACACAAUCUCAACUUUUCAGAUAUCACGAACAAUUUUGUCACAGAUUUCUGACAAAGAAGAAAGCGCGUGAAUAUUACUAUUUCAAUUACCCAAAGGUUAGCAACAAGAGUAAAGGAACAAUACCACUACUCACUAUUGGGAAAUUCCUAUAUAUGUUGACAUUUGUCCUCCAUAACAAGGCAGAUCUGCAAAAAUGCCCAACCCUUCCUCACCUCUGAGAGUGCACUCCCAAACAAGCCUUUCGAAAGACUUAGGUUUUCUUCCUCCCCAAGAAUACCUUUGCAAACAAGUCAUACCAGAGCAAUAGUAUCUCAUAUCAUCAGGGUCGAAAACAAGAGUAUCUUAUAUCAUGCUUUCUCCCUGUCCUUUUCUUUGUCCUUGUUCUUCCUUGCAGAACAAGGAAAAAAAGAGCAAUCAGCUGGCACUUGGAAUCAACCUUCCGAUCUGGAACCGACUGCCUAGAACCCCUUCCCUGAUUGCUUACCUAGCCUUGCUCUCGAGUACUCAUCUUCAACUAUUGAUGUACUUCUAGAGAAGAUACCAUGUCUGCCUGGAGAACAAAAAAGACGAAUGAAAAUGAUACAUCGAAGCAUGUGGAGACAAGCGCAAUGAAACGUGCCAGUUUAUCCGCUACUUCUUCAUAAGCAAAAGUAUCUCAUAUCAUUAGGGACGAAUGUACUCUAGAUUUGAUGGACUUGUUUUGACCCUUAAAUUCUUGAAUCGGCUCGCUAAGGCAUGGUGAAAAAAACACAUGCCGAUUCAUCCCGAUAAGACCGAAGAUCACUUGCCACCUGAAGAUGUUCGUGGUCCCAUUCCAGUCAAAUUCAAGAUCAAGCUCCGAAGGCCCUUAAAGAAAUCACAAGUUCGAUUCAAAAUCAAGUGUCCACCACCCUUGAAAAUCAUACUGUUAACCAAACUGCUCAGGUAUGAAUUGGAAAGAUUGAAGAAAGAAACAUACCAUCACCUUCACCUCGUGCCUGCUUGCCAUGUGUCCGAAUCUUGAAACCGCUCGUGGUCCUAUUUAAAUUCAAAAUCAAGCUCCAACGACCCUUGAAGAAAUCACAAGUCCGAUUCAAAAUGAAGCUUCCACCACCCUUGAAUUCCAGAUCAAAGGAGUAAGUUCAGACCUUUAGAGGAAACCAGAAAACCCUCCAGCCCAGUUCAAGAUUAAACCUGUGGAAAGCUACUUCUUCAAAAGCAAAAGUAUCUCAUAUCAUCAGGGUUGAAAGCAAAGAUAUCUUAUGGCAUGUUUUUUCCCUAUCUUUUCCUUUACCUUUGCUCUUACCUGCAAGACAAAGAGAAAGAAAGAAAUCAGUCAGAACCUGAAAUCAAACUUCUGAUCUGGAACUGAUUGCCCAGAACUUUUGCAUGGUUGCUUACCUAGCAUUGCUCUUGAGUGAUCAUCUUCAACUGUUAAUAAGUCUCGAGUUUCCUCAACGAAUACUUCAGAACAGUUGAUAUGAUGUUGGCUCUUUACAUUGAAGUUGCCAAGCAUGGAUGAGUUGCUAAGAAGUGAUGCUCUGAAUGACCAUUUAAAGGCAAAAGUUUGCACACCACUUCUGCCAUGCAAAAGAAACAAGUAGAGAAGAAUGCAACAUGGUGAGCUGUAACAGAUAACUAUAGUAAGACACCCUUCCCUGCAUAACCGCAUAACCCAGAUGGAGGAGUCUGAGUCAAAUCCAAGCUCAGCAUUAUUGCUCUAAUCAAAGAGCUCGAGAAGUUUCAAAGACCUUUCAAUGGCACCGUCGUUGAAGAGCAAAGCCUCGCCGUGCAACACCAUCAAAUCGCCACCACCACCUAGGAACUCUACUCUUCCUUGCUCAGAUCUCCAGCCCAGUUUAAGAAUAAGCUUGUGGAAAAGUUAACAAUUGGAGGAAACCAGAAAAUCCUCCAACCCAGUUCAAGACCAAAGCUGUGGAAAGUCAACAAGCGCAACAUAAUACAUGCUGAUUCAUCCACUACCAAAGCCAAAGAUCAUCUACCACGUGAAGCUCCUUGUGGUCCAAUUUCAUUCAAGAUCAAGCCUCGACAGCCCUUAAAGAAAUUUCAACAAAAUUCAAGAACAAGCCUCAACGAUACUUGAAGAAAACUUUUAUCCCAAUUCAAGAUCAAGCCCCGAUGACCUUUGAAGAAAUUACCAACCCAAUUCAAGAUCAAGCAUCGAUGGCCUUUGGAUCAACAUUACAUUAAUGGACUUCAAAACGCAUCUUCUACACGUGACAAACACAUGUAUAUGAUGCGCCUUGAAGUGGGGGCAUUUGUAGACAUCAAAAUUUCGGUGAAAUAAAUGUUGACCAAUAAUUAAAAUUUCAGCGUUCACGUGUCACAUAAAUUUUACACGUAGCAUGUGACAUAACAAAAAAAUCGAAAAUUAUCGGACAAGUCAUCAAAUAUGACACGUGUUAACACCAGGGAGAAAUGGUUUAUUUCAUCUGAUUAUUUAUAUCCAAAAAUCAAGUUUUGGAAUUCUAUAAAUAGGAAGCCAAGUCAUUCAUUUUGAUUAACCAAUUCACAUCACACCAUAACCUUGAAGCUUUGAAACUCUAAAGCUCCUAAGCAAAUCCCGAAGGAUUAAGAAAGCUCUCUUCGUUCUUCGUCAAAUCCUCCUUCAAGAUCAAGCCUCAACGGCCCUUGAAGAACUUCCUCCUUUAAGAUCAAGCCCCAAUGGCCCUUGAAGAACUUCCACCAAUUCAAGAUCAAGCCCCGAUGGCCUUUGAAGAAAGUGUUCAUCGUUCAUCAUCCGUUCAUCCUAAGAUCAAGCCCCAACGGCCAUUUGGAUCAACAACAUCAACAAAUCCGCACAACCAUUCUUCAAGAUCAAGCCCAUAAGCCCUUGAAGAUCUGUUCAUCACCGUUCUUAAAGAUCAAGCCCAAAAGCCCUUAAAGAAACUUCCAUCAACUUUCAAGAUCAAGCCUGAAGGCUCUUGAAGAAACUUCUGACCGUUUAUCCAAGAUUAAGCCUCGAUGGCCCUUGGAUCAACAAAAUAUCCAUAAAUCAACACAUUACGAAGAUCGAAUCAGAUGAUCAAAUUUGAGAGAGAUUGUAACCCCAAAAUCAUUAAUACAAAAUAUUAUUUUGUACACGUGUUCUUGUCUCGUUGCAUCGCAAGAAUUUCCAUUUUUACAAAUUUGGCAUGCCCAAUGAGACAAUCUCUACCUUUCAUCUUUUUCUCCGUUUAAGGAAUCCAAGCACACCUCAAAAUCAAUGGCAUCAAGCAAGGGAUAAGCCAUUCUCACAACCACUAAGGGAAGGAUACUGAGCACCUUCACCGUAAACGGAGAAUCCAUUGGCGCCACAACCACUCCUCAACAUGCCACUUCAAAGUUGGUGCCACUAAGGGAGCAAGGGGAGCAUCAAAGGCACGAGUCCAUCAUCAACCUGACCUUGCUGGGGGCACCGAAGCAUGGUAAUGAGGCGUACAAGAUGACAUCCCAAAGCGGCCAAUGGCAUUCUUUUUCAGCAUCCUGGAUGUUUGAAGGAAAGUCACGUCUAUUGGUUACGAAAGUCAUGGCCAUUGGUGUUACCUCAAUUGAAGAACAACUGGGUCAAAUGAAUGAAGCGAUCACAAGGCUAACACGGACUAUGAAAGAAAAAGACUUGCAAAUUGUUGCACUCGUCAAUCAACUAGAAGCACAUGAUGAUGAGAAACUUGACCCAAAGGUUAAUCUACUAAAGAGAGGAGCCAGCGAAGAAGAGGAGCCUCCAGUGGAGAAAGUCGAUGUGAAGCCGGAGCCAGACCUAGCAGCAGCACUCAUGUGGUCUAUUUCUAUCCAGCAGAUGCAGGAGAUGAUCACAAACACUAUCAAGGCGCUGUACGAAGGGAGCUCACGUACCUUUGUGUUGUAUUCAAAGCCCUACUCCAAGAAGAUUGACGCCUUAAAGAUGCUAAGGGGUUAUCAACCACCAAAGUUCAUACAGUUUGAUGGAAAGGGAAACCCUAAGCAGCAUGUCGCCCAUUUCGUUGAAACUUGCAACAACGAAGGGACGAAAGGAGACUACCUUGCUAAACAGUUUGUGCACUCGCUGAAAGGAAACGCCUUUGAGUGGUAUACGAACCUAGAGCCUGAGUCCAUCAAUAGUUGAGAGCAAUUGGAAAGGGAAGUCCUUAACCGCUUCUACAGCACCCGCCGCACUGUAAGCAUGCUGAGCUGACAAGUACGAAGCAAUGGAAAGAUGAGCCAGUUGUUGACUAUAUCAAUCAAUGGUGCACUUUAAGCCUCGACUGCAAGGAUAGGCUUUCAAAGAUCUCCUCAAUCGAGAUGUGCGUCCAAGGCAUGCAAUGGAGAUUACAAUAUAUCCUUCAAGGCAUCAAACCACGAACCUUUGAUGAGCUAGAAUUAGAAAUGAAUAAAAGUAAGAGAUUAAUUUAUGGGAAAUUAAGAGGCUUAGGUUGUGGGUUUGCAAUGAUUCACAACUAUUGGCUGAACAAUGAAUUAUUGGUUGUUACAGUGUUGGUGGUUGCAAAAAAAAUAAAGGAAUGUGGGGUGAGGUGGGGCGGAGUUACCUCUCUGUCUUCGACACCCACAUGGUGGUCAUGGUAGGGAAGAAGUUUAAUGUUGGUGAGGUAGCAGGGAGGAAGAACCGCGAGAUUUAGGUCAUCGGAGAUUGAGCUUGAUGUCAUGGUCACGGUAGCAGCCAUGGUUUGCGUUUUCCGGCGAGAACCAGCUGGAUAACUAGGUACCAAGUUUGAAGGGGGUGGUUUACAAGGACUGGGAUCACCUCCGGAUCUCAGACUCCGGAGGAAACUGAGCAAAACAUUUCAUCCUUCCAUUUUUGAUCCUGCGGCCAGAAAUUAAUCAAUAUUGAAAAAUUCUCACGCAAACAAGGCAAGAUGAAAAUGGAAGGAUGAGAUGUUUUGCUCAGGUUGCUCUAUAGGCUGGGAUCUGGAGAUGAUCCUAGUCUGUUUUGUAAUUUAAUUUUUAGUCUAUGUGGACAUAUUUGACUGCCACAUCAACAAGAAUGUGAGACCUACAAUUGACACAUCAUCAUUUAAUGGUCAAACUAACAGAUUGAUUAACGGAUGUAUGAAAUUGAAAUGAAAUAAUAGUAAAUGUAUGAAACUGAAAUGUUUUAAAAACAUUGUAUGAGGUUACAAUUUGAGGGAUGUAUGAAAUUGAAAUGAAAUAAUAGUAAAUGUAUGAAAUUGAAAUGUUUUAAAAACAUUGUAUGAGGUUACAAUUUGACUUAAAUCUGAGAGAGUAAAAUGUAAUUUACCCUAUUUUUUGAACAAGUAGCAGAAUGUAACAAGCACUUCACUUGCCCUUUGGGUUGACAAAUCAAUCAUCGUCCACAAUUUCCACGUUGAUUUGACUCUUGAACGAGGAUGGAUGUAGCAGUAGUGCUGAGCAAAGAUCGGGUCUUGCCUAGUUUGUGGAUAUUAUGCAUAUUCGUCGCAAAUACAGCAACAUCGGUAUCAAGAUCUAAAAUAUCGAUGAUAUCGAAAAUAUCGAGAUAUUAUCGAUAUUGAUAAAAAUUGAAUAAAAACCACAGAAAUUGUAAGAAAAACUUGGAAAUUUUUAUUGAAACUUUGCAUGAUGUUUAUUUAAUUAAUUAUCUAUUAGUUUAUCACAAAAAAUUGGAAGGAAAUGCAUUGCAUGAUAGAUGUAACUGAUUUAAGUUGAUUAUAUAGCGAGCUGGGAAACAUUGUGAGUGUAAAAAAUAUGUAGUAAUUAAUGAAAGAAGUUUAAACACACCAUAAUCAUUUAUAUAUAAUGAAUUAGUACAAUAUUUUACACUUUAUACAUUGCAUGGUACGAUAAUGAGUGACUUAGUACCACAUAGAGUUCCUAUCAAGGUCUAAAAUAUCGAUGAUAUUGGAAAUAUCGGUAGUCCAAAAACACGGAAAUUUCGAUGGAAAUAUUGAGAUAAUAUUGAUAUUUUAGACCUUGAUCGGUAUGAUCAACCACUGCACUGUUUUAUUAGAGAUGACUUGCAUACUAGUCAACAGAGGUUAGCCGUGCCCGCCUCCGGGAGAGAAACCACAAGGGGCUUCUCAAUUAUGUAACCAGUCUUAGCAGUUGUCCUUUUAUGGUCUUCUAGCCCGAUUAUCAACAAAAAGAAUCCUUUCUAAUCUUGUCUUUAACUUGCAUAAAACUAGCACUUGUAAAUAUGGUCAUACAGGACGCUAAGCAACACUUUAGUCACAACGUAAAACUUCUUGUAAUUAAAUAUCAAACUUGAUUUCUAGCUAGUUCAUUUCAUUUCCUCAUGAAAGAUGACAGUCCAGAUUCCCUGAAUGGAAUUAAAUCACUGGAUCGCCUUCCAACAAGAAUCGACGAGAGAUAGUAAUCUAAGAAAAAAAAAGACUUUAUGGAGCCUAUUAGCUACUACAUAUAUUUAUAUUUUCACAUACCUGUGCUGCUUUGUAGACAAAGCUUAUUUUGAACGGUAGUUGAUAGCAAAGCAUAUAUAUAGAUGUAGUCUGAGGUGAAUAGCUAAAUAAGCAGUAUGAACCAAUUUUACAACGAAUAAAACAAUCUUUAACGAGCCUCCAAAAGCGUGAUUGAUAAUUCGUUGGUAGAAGAUGUUUGAUUAUCUGAAGACAGACCUGCUUCAUAUGCUUUCUUUUCGAUAAAGAAACCAGGUUGUUUAGGCUGAGCCAAUGCACCAGCACUUCCCAACAUUAUAACUACAGAUGCCAUGCUUGGCCUAUCCUCAGGUUCAUGUUGAACACAUAAGAGACUAACAUGGAUGCAACGUAACACUUCCGAUAGAGAACACGAAUUUCCUAAACCUGUAUCAAUCACUUCCAGAGGCCUGCCUUCGUUCCAUAAUUGCCAUGCCUGAAAAACAUCAAAGCUCCUUCAUCAAUUAUACAUUUAAUAGGGUCUAAUAUGUAAGAGAAAGAAAUUUUAAGCCUGAUACUUGCAUGCCCAAUAAGGUUCUGGCUGUUUUUAUUGUAGAAUCCCUUGUUUUUCCUUCCGCUAAUGAUCUCUAGCAUCAAUAUACCAAAGCUAAAGACAUCCGAUUUCACAGAAAAUAGUCCAUCGACCGCAUAUUCAGGUGCCAUGUAACCGCUGUGGAAAGUACAAACAUCGUAUAGAAGUAAGAACAAAAUAAACCAUUGGUGAAAGUUGAUCAUAGAAAUAGGGUAAUACAAACUUACUAUGUUCCAACAACUUUCUUUGUAUUUCCACCAGCCUGAUCUCCUCCAACCAAGGUUUUAGCCAAGCCAAAGUCUGAAAUUUUUGGAUUCAUUUCACUAUCAAGUAAAACGUUACUUGCUUUGAGAUCUCUAUGAAUAAUCCUUAGCCUGGAAUCUUGAUGGAGGUAGAGCAGACCGCGAGCAAUUCCGCAUAUAAUGUUGAAGCGUGUAGGCCAAUCUAGGACUUGUUCUUCUCUGGUUUUAUCUGGCAGUUUAACAAAAAUCGAACUUUAUUUCUAUAUAAAAAAAUGCUCCAAAACCUAUUUAUGAAAUUAUUAUAGAGGCUAGAGCUAUUAAAAAUAAUAAACUUAUAAGGUUUCGAAGAUACAAACCAAAAAUAAAGGAAUCAAGGCCUCUGUUGGGCAUGUAUUCAUAAAUCAGCAUUUUCUCUUCUCCUUGAACACAGCAUCCAAGAAGCUUUACAAGAUUUCGGUGCUGGAGCUUGGCAAUCAGUACGACUUCAUUCAUGAACUCACUCAAUCCUUGGCCAGAACUUGUCGAAAGCCUCUUCACAGCAAUUUCCUGUCCAUCUGCUAGCGUCCCCUGGAAAUUCACCGAAUUUCGAAAUUGAGAAACUUGGGAUGAAGUAAUUCUUUUUUCAUUUGGCCCUUACUAUGAACAAAAUAAAAAAUUUACCUUGUAAACAGGUCCAAAGCCACCUUCUCCGAGCUUGUUAUCACUUGAAAAGUUAUUGGUGGCACUCGCUAUUGUGGUCAGGUCAAAGACCGGAAGCUCCAGUUCCCCCUCUGGUUCCCCUUCAUUGUUCCGAUCCCUUUCUCUUGUUUCAGUUUUCCCUGAUUUAGUUGAAAUGGGAUCAAUUUUAGCUAGCUAUAGCAUAUAAGUAUGUCUUAUCAAACUAAAACUUACAUAUGCCGAUGGAAUAUGUACUAGUUUAACCAUAUCUCUUCUAACCAAAUUAAACUCAUCCAAUAACAAUCGAACAUCCGUGAAUAUUUAGAUAUCCGCUUACAUGUAAGAGUAAGCAAACUGAAGCUCAUAUAGGCACUAUGAAGAUGAAAUAUUUACUAGUUUAACCAUAUCCCUUCUACGCAAAUGAAACACCAUAGAAAUCUAACUUCCCUUCUUUCAAAUACUCAUUCAAGUAAAAUCAAACAGCGUUCACAAAUGAUUUGCAAAGAGUGUCAAGGUACCUUUUAAUUCUGUCUUUCUUCGGUGAAGGUAAUAAUAAUAUCCAAGUAACAGCAUUCCAGCAAACACUACUCCUGCGAGAACUCCAACUAUAAUUGCUUUCUUCGCUUUAUCAUCAUUUUCUUCAUCAUGAUUGUGAGAUGCAAUAAAGAUAAAUUAAAAUUGCAGCCAAUGAAUUAUUUAAAGAAAAAAAGAAGAUAAAAGUAACUCAUGUUACGAAGUUUCUUACCUAACUCUGAAGCUGGCAUUCGAACAUAUAGAUCCUGUCCAGAAGCUGGAAACUGCCUGAUAUCUAUUAGAUCACCAUACCAGAUGGCGCAGCCAGUACCUCCUCUUAUAUCCGAGCUUGUAUAAGCCAUACAGGAACAGUUGUUCAAGCAUUUCGCUCUGCAUUCCUUCAGAUUUAUACUUUUGUUCACCCACGAAUGUGUAGUUUCUGGCAAUUUCAAGCCGGAAAAUUUGAUAAACCCAUCCUUAUGCUUUUCCUGGCAACUCAGGGGCUUCUUGUGCUCACAUCCUAGAGACCAGUCCGUCAAGUUCCAUCUUUCUUGAGACUUAGGCUUGAAUCCUUUUAGACAUUGGCAGACUGGAUUCUCACCAAUGAGACAAUUUCCGUUGGCUCCACAGAGGCCAUAAUGAUCACACAUGUCCCUGGGUACCGUUGAAUAUGCCCUCCAAGUUUUUUCCGCUUCAAUCCAUCUCAAGCGAUCACGCGUACUCGUGGUUUGGUUCAUAACCAAUCUUGAGAUUACAGACUUAUCUAGAAGGGUGUACAUGUAAUACACUUCAUCGUCAUUAUACACAAAGUUGAAACUAUAAAGUGGAUUAGGCAUUAAUUCUGGUGCACCACUAAAUCUUAGGCCAUUCCAUGGGCCAGAACGAUAGUAUUUUACAGUGCCUUUAAGAAAAUAUGCCUCGGGGUAUAUAUGACGUUCCAUUUCGAGCUGUCCUGAGUUUUUCCAAAUGAAAUCUCCCGGACAUGGGUCUUCUGAGUUUUUCCAUGCUGAUAAAUUACGAUUUAGAUCCGUCCUCGAGUCCCAUCCCAACUUCAUUCCUGGUAACAACGUAUCAGAUGGAUAGUCAAAGCUUUGCCAUAAAUAGAUUCCUGCCCCUGCAUCUCUUAGUACCAAAUUCCCGGAAUCUAAGAGCUCUACCGUUGCACUUUUGGGCUGUUCAACUAAGCUCGUUGACCAAACUACACUCUUAUUCUGACCCAGCAGCACAAGAUCCCCUUUUCCGUUUAUCAUCAACAUGCCGGAAGAAUCAUUAAUGGGGUUGCAUCUGUUUGCCACCCAAACAACAGUUUGGACCGGGAUGUUCUUAUACCAAAUUCCCAAGUAACGAUUCUUGGAGCUACCCGGACUGAAGAAACCAAGCUCAAAGCUUCCACCUUUUGCAACCAAGGUCGUGCCAUCACGAAUAGACUGCGAUGGACCAAUGCUGUCAACUGCAAAGGAAAUUGUGGGCAGCAGAAGGAGCAAAUUAGUACAGAUGAGCAGAAAACCAAAACCGCCCAUUGAAUUACUUUGGUCUUUGAGCUCAAUGCCUAAUGGUAAUCGUAUUCUUCAAGUUAAAGAUAUAAUCAGAAAAAAAAAAGACUGUUGUGAUUCGGUCAUUUUCCAUCCAAAUGCAUACGACAGAUAAUGCUCAAUUGCUUAUUCUUCGUCAACAUAGCAGAAACCGGAAAGAUCAACACUUGCCCUGGUUUUCAUAAAGAUGACGUGCAUACCAGACAACAGAGGGUAGCCGUGCGGACUUUUGGCCUUCCAGAAGACUAAAGAGAGAAAACACAAGGGUCUUAUUAACUGUGUGUGUCAAUUUUUCGCAGUUGUUGGUAUUUGGCCUUCUCUCAAAUGAUCAACCACAAGAACAUAGCAGAAACCGGAAAGAUCAACACUUGCCCUGGUUUUCAUAAAGAUGACGUGCAUACCAGUCAACAGAGGGUAGCCGUGCGGACUUUUGGCCUUCCAGAAGACUAAAGAGAGAAAACACAAGGGUCUUAUUAACUGUGUGUCAAUUUGUCGCAGUUGUUUGGUAUUUGGCCUUCUCUCAAAUGAUCAACCACAAGAAUCCUUUUUAAUCUUAUCUUUGACUUGUAUGAAACUGGUGGUAGGUCGGGAACAAAACUUCCACGGGUCUUAUCUUUGACUUGUAUCAAACACAAGAAUCAUUUUUAAUCUUAUCCUUAACACUGUACCAGGUUGAUGUUUAUUUUGUACACAACGUUACACCCUCGCAAUCUAUCGUUGAUGGAACCACAUUAGUUUCAAGUGAUGGAAGAAGCUUUGAGUUAUAAAAAUCGAUAAAAAUAGGCAUGUAGAUAGUACAACCUUAUAAUAUUUGGUUUGCUGCUGCCUAUUGCAUAGAUGUUAUUGAAAAUAGAAUGUAUAAAAUGGGAUCCAUGUGGUGCAUUUAUUAAUGAGUAAAUUGUAGCAAUGGUCCCUGAACUUUACUCAAAUUGGAGCAAUAGUCCCUCAACUAAAAAUCCAUUACCAUUGGUCCCUCAACUUAUCAAAAUAUGUAGCUAUAGUCAUUUUCAUUAAUUUCUUCAAAAUUUUGUCAAAAUAUGUUAUGUUGGAAUAACCAUUUAUUUAAUUAGGGUCCCUCAACUCAUCAAAGUGUGUAAUUAUGGUCAUUUUUGUCAACUACUUAAAAAAUUUUGUCAAAACGAGUUAUGUUUGAAGGACCAUAGCUACAAUUGGGAUAAAGUUAAGGGACCAUUUCUCCAAUUGAAUUAAAGUUAAGGGACCAAAGGUAAUGGAUUUUUAGUUGAGGGACCAUAGCUGCAUGUUUUAAUGAGUUGAAGGACCAAUGGUAAUGGAUUUUUAGUUGAAGGACCAUUGCUCCAAUUUGAGUAAAGUUCAGGGACCAUAGCUACAAUUUACUCUUUAUUAAUUGACGUUUCACUAGUAAACUUGGUGGCAAUUGAUUUUUGUUCCGCAAUGAGUAAUCUAUGUUUCCACAAUGUUGUGCUCUCUUUUUCGAACAAAGUUGAGAUUCCACCAUAAAACUAAUUGGGAAUAUGGGAAUGGCCCAUUACUUAUAAGUAUAUGCAAGAUCCAUUCUUUUCUCGAUGUGGAAUAUAUUGAAAAAGAUAAAGUUGAGGUUUCACUAAAUAACCUUUAAUUUAUUGUCUAAUCCGAUCAUUUUAAGUGUUUGUGUAUGUAAAAGUAUAAAACCAAUUGUUUUCAACUGCUCAAUGGAUUGGGCCGUUUUAAGUGUCAUUUACUUGUUCAACAAGCAUUAGCCCAGAAGGCCCUAUUGCAAAACGUUGGAAUAUUAAGCAUUUUUACACCAAAUGAUUCAUAAAUAUAUGCUUUCAUAGACCUUUGUCUGCUUUGUUCUCAAAAUUUAUUUUGAACAAAUGUCUGAUACGAAUGCUUAUAGAUGUAGUCUGAGAUGAAUAAAAUGAUCCCUAUCGAGCCUCCAAAAGCAGGAUCGAUAAUUCAUUGGUUGAAGCUGACUGUUAACCUGAAUUAGGACCUGCUCAAUGUGAUUCCUUUUCCAUGAAGAAACCGGGUUGUUUCGGCUGAGCCAAAGCAGUCUCACUUCCCAACUUUAUAACCACAGACGCCGUGCUUGGCCUAUCGUCAGGAUGAUGUUGCGCACAUAAGAGACCAAUGUGGAUGCAACGCAACACUUCCGGAUAGUGUGCCCGAGCUUCCUAAGCAUGCAUCAAUCAGUUCUAAAGAAUUCCCUUCAUUCCACAAUCUCCAUACCCGAAACAAAUCAAAAUCCUUCGUCAAUUACUGUUCCAAUAAGAGCGAAAAAUUCAUGAUACUUACGUGUUCAAAAAGGUUACCGUUGUUGCUUGGAUUGGAGAAUCCUUUAUUUUUCAUUCCAGUAAUGAUCUCCAUUACCAAAAUACCAAAGCUAAAGACAUCGGAUUUCAUAGAAAAUUCCCCCCCCCCCCCCAAAAUAACAUAUUCCCUGGGGGGGGGGUAAUGUUGCUGUUGUAGAAAGUAGUGACAUCAUAGAGGAGUGAGAACAAAAUAAACAAUUGACGAGGACUAGUAGUUGGUCGGGGGAAAUACUAUACGGCAAACUUAUUACAUGCCAACUACUUUGUAUGUAUUUGUUGUAGUCUGAUCUCCUUUAGUCAAUAAUCUAGCUAAACCAAAGUCAAAUUCUCGGAUUUAUUUCAUUAUCAAGUAAAGCAUUUGUUAGCAUAGAUACCUCUCCGACUUCAACUUAGUUGUAGACUGCAUGAUUAUCUUUAUGUUUUGUAAUCAUGAUAGGACUUGUAUUAGAUGAUAUACAGUCCUUGUAGGACUCUCCAGCUCUUGUAUAUUUAUACCUGUUUCUGAGCAAUGGAAUAUAGUGACUUUCAUCAAUAUUAUUGUUCUAUACUUAUUGUGUUCCUUCUCUGAUUAUAUAUUUCUACAUGGUAUCAUCCCUUUCUUUGGCUUAACCACCUUCUUCGAUCCUGCUUUUCCUUAUGUCUUCUUCCUCCCUGCUUCUCGGCCCUGCUGUGGUGCAAUUUCUCAAGCUCAAUGAUUCUAACUAUCUUACCUGGCUUCGCCAAAUCAAGCCCUUUCUUAUUGGCCACGAUCUAUGGAAGUUUGUUGAUGGCUCUUACCCACCCCCAGCGACCACCCUCACCGUCCCUGCCAGCCCUACCAUUGUUGCCUCUAACUCUGAGAGCUCUUCGACGGUCACUGUUUCCCUUUAACCCAACCCUGCUUUCACCCAAUGGUACCAACAAGAUCAACUGGUUGUCAGCUACAUCACCGCCACCUUGACAGAGCCUGUUCUUGCUCUCACUGUUGGCCAUGACUCAGCCCAAGUUGUCUGGGCAUGUCUCCAAAGACGUUUUGCUCACGGCUCUGUCACCAACUCCGCUGCCCUCCGUUACCAGCUUCUUGAUCUCUCUAAAGGUUCUAAGCCUGUUAAUGAAUACCUCCAACAUGCAAAAUCCCUCCUGAAAAACUUGCAGCCAUCGGUCGUCCCGUCGACCUCGAUGACUUCAUUACUGCCGUUCUUCGUGGCCUUGGUUCUGACUAUCUUACUCUCACAACUGCCAUCAUCAAUGUCACUCCUCUCCCUACCUUUGAAGAGCUCAGCUCCAAAAUUGAAGCCUUUGAUCUUCAAAACCCUCGCCCUUCCCCAACUCCCGCCGCUACCCCGACUGCACUCAUCACAACCCAGCAGCCUCGUGCUUCCUCUCAGCCUUCUGGUAAUCGCAGUGGUACUUGGUCCAAUCGUUCCCAACGCAACUCCGGUGGUCAGCAACACGGCUGGCGUCCUAGCCGCAAUCAGCACUCCUGCAAUUCCCAACCUUGGAAUGGAUCUAAUAUUCAUUCCCAACAAUCGUGGACUAGGCCGCCUGCUCCUCCUCAUUGGCCCGACCCGCGUGGUUUCUCCGGCCGUCCCACCUCAGGCUUAUUGGGUCCUGGGCCAUGGUGCCCCACUUGCUCCACCUCCCAGCACAACGCUACCCACUGUCCUCAUCGCUAUGGAGGCCCAGAUUCCUUUCCUCCUUUUGCAGGCUCUCAGGUGGCUUACUAUCAGGAUCCCAAUACUUGGUUUCCCGACAUCGGCGCUACCCACCACAUGACGGGCGAUCCCAACGCCCUUCUCCACCCUCAACCUCAUCAUGGUCCUAAUUCAGUUCAAUUGGGUAAUGGUGAUUCUCUUCAUAUUACAUCCACUGGUACUAUUCCUAUUUCUUUCAACUCUAUUCCAUUUACUCUUCAUCAUGUUUUUCUUGUUCCGUCUCUCCAUAAAAACCUUUUGUCUGUUGCUCGCUUUACCCAUGAUAACAAUGUUGCUAUUGCUAUUUGUUUCUUUCCCUCUUUUUAUAUAUAUGAUUUACGCACUGGUUCCUUAUUGUUUCAGGGCCCAUGUAGAGAUGGCCUUUAUCCAUUGUCGCUUCCCUCACCCCAAGCCCUUGCUGCGUCAUCCUCCAUACUCUGGCACCAACGUCUCGGUCAUCCUUCGUCCUCGGUUUUAUCUCGUCUUAGUUCUAGUUUAGGCUCUCAGUCAUUUUCUUCUAAGCAUUUUUGUACAAGUUGUGCUUUAGGCAAGUCCACACAACUUCCUUUUCAAUUGAAUAAUACAAGGGCUACUUCUUCAUUUUUUAUUAUACAUUCUGAUGUUUGGAUGUCCACUACUACCUCCACUUCUGGUUUUUGUUAUUAUGUUUUGUUCACUGAUGAUUAUUCUCGCUAUUCUUGGAUAUACCCCAUGAAACAUAAGUCUGAAGUUUUCACCCAUUUUCAAACAUUUGUUGCAAUGGCUAAAAACCUUUUUCACGCUUCCAUUAAAUAUUUCCAAAGUGAUGGCGGCAUUGAGUAUGUUAAUCACUCAUUCUCUGUUUUUCUUCGCCAGUUAGGUAUCCAGCACUGUCUUUCUUGCCCACACACACCUCAACAAAAUGGACUUGCUGAGCGCAAGCAUCGUCAUAUCGCUGAUAUGACUCGCACCCUGCUUGCCACAGCUUUUGCCCCGCUCACCUUGUGGGUUGAAGCUGCGCUCACCUCUGUCCACCUCAUCAAUCUUCUUCCCACAUCUACCCUUCAUUGGUCCACUCCUUACACUCUUCUUUUUGGUCGACCACCUAUUUACUCCCAUUUACGUACCUUUGGAUGUAUAUGUUUUCCAUACCUUGGGCUAUGUUCACGAUAAACUAAUGCCUCGUUCUAUUGAGUGUGUUUUUGUGGGUUACAGUGCUACUCAUAAAGGUUACAGGUGCCUUGAUCGUGCCACUGGUCACGUCUAUAUUUCUCAUCAUGUCGUGUUCAACGAAGAGGCUUUCCCCUUUGCUAAUCCUCUCGGCCACCAACCACCUGCAUAUGUGGAACUUGACAUUCAUCCCAUUGUUGCUCCCUCGCCACGUAGCCCCCUGCCCGUUCCUGCCACUAUUACCCCCGUGGGCUCUCAUCUUUCUGCAGGUCCGUCCACACUCCCCGAGACUGGGCCCAGCCUUCCACCGCCUGCAGCCCAGUCUCCAUCGCCGCCUCUUACUGCCCCGUCACAGCCCCAACCACAUGUGCCUCUCUCCCAUCCCAUGAUCACCAGGUCUAAAGCCGGCACACGGAAACCCAAUACUUGGAAUGAUGGCUCCAUUCGGUAUCCUCUCCCUCAUGCUCUUUCCGUUUCGCUUCUUGCUGAUGAACCUACCUGUUUUACACAGGCUACUCGCAAACCCGAAUGGCGGGCUGCCAUGACCGAAGAAAUUAAUGCUCUUCUUAAGAACAACACUUGGGUUCUGGUUCCACCCUCUCCCACCCAAAACAAAGUCGGUUGUAAAUGGGUUUACCGCAUCAAACGCAACACUGAUGGAAACAUCGAACGAUACAAAACCCGCUUGGUGGCCAAGGGCUUUCAUCAACAACCGGGCAUUGACUAUGCUGAAACUUUUAGCCUUGUCGUCAAACCAGCAACUAUACGCACUAUUCUUAGUCUUGCUGUUUCCAACCGUUGGUCAGUUCGUCAACUCGACGUCAAGAAUGCCUUCUUGCAUGGUCACUUACAGGAGGAGGUGUAUAUGUCUCAACCCCCAGGCUUCGUUGAUCCCCAGCGGCCCAAUCAUGUUUGUCGUCUCACCAAGGCGCUUUAUGGUCUUAAGCAGGCUCCCCGAGCCUGGUUCCACCGCUUUAGCUCUUAUCUUUUUCACUAUGGAUUUCUUCAAAGUAAAGCCGACAGCUCCCUCUUCGUUUAUCACACUGGUUCUUCUCGUAUGUGGUUAUUAUUAUAUGUUGAUGACAUUGUCCUGACUGGUAACAACCCCUCUUUAUUGCAACAUUUUAUCACAGCAUUAGGCCAUGUCUUUGAAUUAAAGGAUCUCGGACCUUUUCAUUAUUUCUUGGGUCUUCAAGUCAGCACCAGUGCCCUCGGCAUGCACCUCACUCAGGCCAAAUAUGCUUACGAUUUAUUAAACAAAGCCAAUAUGUUGGAGUGUAAGCCGUGUUCCACUCCUGUUGCUGCCAAACUGUCCUUAUCUGCACAUGAUGGUGUGCCCUUAUCAUCCCCCACUGAGUAUCGAAUGUUAGUGGGCUGCCUGCAAUACCUCACCAUAACCCGUCCGGACAUCUCCUUUGCUGUCAAUAAUGUUGCUCAAUACAUGAGCAACCCCCUUUCGACUCACUUGCUGGCCGUCAAACACAUUUUACGUUACGUCAAAGGCACCCUUGAUCAAGGUUUAUUACUCCGCCCACAACCUACCUCCUCUUGCCUCUCCGCAUUUUCCGACGCGGACUGGGCUGGGUGUGUUGAUACACGCCGCUCCACCACCGGUUACCUGAUCUAUCAUGGAGCAAACUUGGUGUCUUGGUGUUCCAAGAAACAACCAACUGUCUUGCGUUCCAGCGCCGAAUCUUAAUAUCGGGCCUUAUCUCAUGCAUGUGCCGAGACCACCUGGCUCAUCUACUUGCUCCAUGAGCUUGGUGUUACCACUCCGUUCCCUAUCUACCUUCACUGUGAUAAUCUCAGUACGACGUACAUGGCUGCCAACCCUGUUUUCCAUGCUCGCACCCGUCACAUCGAACUUGACUAUCAUUUUGUACGUGAAAAGGUUGCUCUCGGUAGCCACCAGGUUCGCUUCCUCCCCUCUGUUGAUCAACCUGCAGACUUGUUGACGAAAGGGUUGCUCAAAGCGUGCCAUAUCUUGCUACGGUCCAAACUUGUUCAUCCUGGGAUGCCCAGUUUGCGGGUGGGGGGGGGUGUUAGCAUAGAGUCCUCUCCGACUUCAACUUAGUUGUAGACUGCAUGAUUAUCUUUACGUUUUGUAAUCAUGAUAGGACUUGUAUUAGAUGAUAUACAGUCCUUGGAGGACUCUCUAGCUCUUGUAUAUUUAUACCUGUUUUUGAGCAAUGGAAUAUAGUGACUUUCAUCAAUAUUAUUGUUCUAUACUUAUUGUGUUCCUUCUCUAAUUAUAUAUUUCUACAGCAUUACUUGCUUUGAGAUCUCUAUGAAUAAUCCCUAGCUUUGAAUCCUGAUAGAGAUAGACGAGACCGCGGAAUUCCACAUAGUUUUAAUUUCAAUCCAAAUCACUUAAUGACCUGUAUAUGAUUCCAUGAAAUUAUUUUAAACCAACCAAGCUUUUAUCUCUUGAAAAAGCUAUACGUGGCGCUAGCUGUUGUCAUCGGGUCAAAGAGUGGGAGCUCCAUGUCCCCUCUUGGUGUCCCUUCAUUGUCCUGAUUUCUUUCCCUUAUUUCCGUGAUGGGGUUCCUGUAGCUAGAGCCUAGAUGUAAUAACCAAACUAAAACUUAUAUGUGCAGAUAGAUUACAUGUACAGUUCCACCCAAUUAAACUCGAUAAAACUUAUAAUCCCGUUCUCUCAAAAAUGCAUAUCCAAACACAAAAAACAUUGACAAAUACUUGAAUGAUGGUCUCAAAAAUGCAUAUCCAAACACAAAAAACAUUGACAAAUACUUGAAUGAUGGUCAGGGUAAGAUGUGAUACCUUUAUUUUUUUCUCUUUCUUCGGCGAAUGAAAUAGCCAACUAAUAGUACUCCUGAAAAUACUAUUGCUAUGCCAAGAGCAACUUAUAAUUGCUAUCUUCACUCUUCUGUUGUUUUUUCCUUUGUUGUUGACAGAUCAAAUAAAGCAGACAAUUUUAAGAUGAAGCAAGCAAUAAAAAAAAAAAAAAAAAAAAAAACAGCAGGGCCAGUUCAGCUUUGCGAGAAACAAAACGAACUUCUUACUGAAACAUGUUGAAAAGCAAUAGUUGGACUACAAGUGACAUUAUAAAAGUAUGAACGAGAAGCUCAUUUUGUAUAGGUCAAUACCUAAUUCAGCAGCUGACAUUCAGAUAUAUGUUUCCUUCCCAGCAACAGGAACCUAUCUGAUAUUGUGGAAUUUUUCAGGUCGACGGGUCGAGGGUCCACUCCAACAACACCGAUACUGUGCCCACUUAACCACCUGCACAAUCCUCAAGUGUGGGGUUGUAUCACAAAAAAUCUUGGUGUUAGUUACAGUGGGGUAAUUCUAUAUAAAGUACUCUUCUCUUCUCCCGCUGUCCGAUGUGGGACAAAUGGGGGUUCCAACAGAUAUCUAUUAGAUCAACAAACCAGAUGGCACAGCCACUACCUCCUCCCUUGAUAUAUGAGCUUGUAUAAGCAGUACAGGAACCGUUUUUCCAGCAUUUGGCUCUGCAUUCCUUGAGAUUCAUACCUUUUUCCACCCAAAAAUUUGUAGUAUCUGGCAAUUUCAAGCAAAAAAUUUGAGAAACUCAUCAUUAUCUCAUUCGUGGCAGCUUAGUGGUUUAUUGCUAACGCAACCUAGAGACCAGGCCAUCAAAUUCCAAUUUUCUUGAGACUUGGGGCUGAAUCCUUGUAUACAUUGGCAGACCGGAUCUUCACAGGUACAAUUUCCAUUGGCUCUACAGAAGCCAUAAUGACCACACAAUUCUGUAGGUCUUGAUGAAAAACCCUUUAAACUGGUUGUUUGGUUCACUCUUAAGAUUGUAGAGUCAAUCUUAGGUUUGUAUGCGAUGUAAACUUUGUCGUCAUUGUAGACAAAUUUGAAACUAUAACAAGGUUUAGGACCUUUGGGUGGACCAAAGAUUGUCUGUCCAUUGCAUGUGCUGGUGCAAAAGAAUUUUGUACUUCCAUUCAGAUAUAUGCCUCAGGAUAUGCUUGAAGUUUCGUUUCAAUUCCAUAAGUAAAAUCUCCUGGGGAUGGGUCCAGGAUAGUCAAAGCUUUGCCACAAAUAGGUUUCUGAAUUUCCAUCUUUCGCAUCUCUAAGUACCAAAUUCUCAGAGUCUAAGAGCUCCACCGUUGCACUUUGGACCUCAUUAAUUAAGAUCGUUGACCAAAAAACACUCUUAUUCUUACACAAGAGCACAAGAUUGCCUGUGGUGUUUAAGAAUCAUUGUUGGGUUUGCAUCUGUUUGCAACCCAAACAAUAUUUCUAACUGGGACAUUUUUGAACCAAAUUCUGUUAAAGGAAGCAGGGGUACGCGGAUUUGGGAUGCUAACUAAGUAGACACGUAAGCGAGGUGCGAAAGGAGGCAGGCAACAAGUGGAUUGGGCUACUGGUUUAUUUGCUCGUUAGGCUUUCCUGUUCGCGCAGGCAUAGGAACAGUUAAGCCAGCAUAGAGCAAAGCUCAACCAAUGGGCUAUUUGCUAUAGUUCAAAGCCCUGUUCAUAGAAGUUUCGGAGACAGGAGAAGGUGGUUUACUUACUUGCUGCUUGUAAGAGUCUAGCUGCUGUUCCAAAGCUUUCAUGCGGGAGAAACAAGAUGCGAACAAGGGGCAAAGGAGCAGAUCAGGUUGUUUACUUACUUUUGUACUAGCGUGAGGCGUAAGUAAUGGUUCUUAGAACUACCUAGACUAAAGAAACCGAGUUCAAAUUUUCCAUCAUGAAACCAUUGUCGUUCCACCAAGGACAGACUGCAAAGGUGUACUGCUGUCAACUGCAAGGGAAAUUGUUAAUAACAGAUGGAACAAAUAAGCACUGAUCAUAAACGAAAAACAAAGACCACCCAUAAAAAAUUUAUUCUUGAGCUCCUUGACUACUGAUUUGAUUCAAGCAAAAGAUUAGAAGCAGAAGGAAAAGAUCUCUGUGGUUCAUAAUCAUAACGAUAAGACCAUAUACCAACAACCGAAAAGACCCCAUAGGGAUAAGAUAAUUUGGGAAGACCUUGUGGUUUCAUUCAUCAGAAAUAGAAAGUGAGGGAACCAUAAUUAACUAGCUAGUAAUGAACUAUGAUCUUUACUAGCAGAUCCAAGUUUAACCAAGUUGGCUCGAGAACAAUGUGUUCCGCAUUCUCCAUAUUUUAGAUGAAUUUAGUGUAAUUAUCUUAUCCGUUCUCCAAAAACAAUGUGAAAGAAAAAGAAAUUUUCAUACCUCCUCCUGGUUUCUUCUGGAACAAAUUUUGCUGUGCUUGUCGUGCCACAUAUUUGUGCCACUAUGCCAGUCAUUGAUAUCUGUUCAGGUAGAUGAAAAUCAACUCAAGGAUCUAUAGUUUUACUGCCUCUACUAAACUAAAGAGACUUGAGCAUUUUGGCUCAAUUUUUUUUUUUCAGAUUUGAGCUCAACUGAUUCUGAAAUUUCAAAAGAGAGUAAAAAGUAGAAACUUGGGGUUUGACAACUCACCGUUGGGAGUCACAGAUUGCCAAGACAGACAAAGGAAGCGGAUUUGUUAUUUCUUAUGCGACGACAUCCAGAUACGAGAUCAUCACUGUAAUCACCUGUUUGUUUUCACAAUGGUUGUGCUCUCUCUCUUGUUCAGUUAUUUGGUUGCGGAUAAUUACACUAUUGGGCAAAUCCAAUUUGCACCUGCUUUCACAAUGGUACGAGCCGUUUAAGAAAUGGAGUGUUCCUCCAAGGGUACAAGUCUGAGCCUCAAAAUUUUGUACUUAUGCAUUUACGCGUACUUGACAAGAUAUUUGAAUGAAUUUUGGAUGAAUUUCAUGUGGCCCUAAGCCCGACCUGUAAGAUUAGUUUAACACAUAACUUGAUCACUAAACCAAAAAAUUAAUCACUGACCUGAAAAACCAUGCUUGCUAGGGUUGAAGUUAAGAGUCUUCUGCUACUUGCCAAUCUCUGAAUGCAACUACUCAGUUCUAUGGGGCAUGAGGCACUUAUAUUGCUUAUCAACUGAGAGUGCAGGGACCUUUUAUUUAUACUGCAUGCAGUGGUGAUCAGUAAGACGAUUUCCCAUAAUACCAAUCCUUAUCAAACUCAACCUUAUCACUACUUUACCCAAGUGUUUAUAUCAGUAAGUACAUAUAUCAAUAUAUAUGUUUAUCAGGAGUGUCGAAGCUACGAAACCUAAAUGUACACACACUCUAAUAGCUUACAAACACUGUUAUACUCAAAUCUCUAUGAUCACAAGCUUCUAACACACGUGAAAUAAGUGUGCAGCUUUCUUAAGUCUUACAUUCUCCCACUAGGGCUAACACUUGUUUAUCACGUUAUCUCCAUAUUUGUGAUCAUACUUAAAUGGCCACAAGUUUGAGCUCAACAAGAUCCUGAGUUCAAGUUUUUGUCAUUAUUGACUAUUCAGAGAGAACUAAAAGGAUUUAUAUUCAAUCCUUAUGAAUACCAUCCCCAUAAUCACAUCCAUGAAACCCCAUUAUGAUAUGAACUAUACAUAAAUGUGAAUGAACAUGUACUAUUACACAUUUAACAAGAAUCCUGAGCUCAACAAGAUCCUGAGUUCAAGUCUUUCUUCUUGCUUCAUUUCUAAGCCCUUUCGUUGCAUUCUUAAAACAAGAAGUUAAAUUGUCAUCCUGAUAUAUACAAUGUAUAUCAUCAUAACUAUUAUUGUAAACCUUUAGGGAAAACUUAAUCAACCAACAGUAGUUAAGAAAAUUCAAUAACAGUAUCUCAAUACAUAAAACAAAGCUGUCUAGAAGAGGACAUAACAUGCAAAAUAUUAUAGCUCCCACAAUUCCACAGCAUCAAAGUCUGGUAACAUAACCCAUUUUUGCAACAUGCUUCUUGAAGACUACAAAUGGAAUUGGUUUCUUCCGGGGAUCUGCAACCAUCAAACCAGUUUCCAAAUAGUUAAAUUUAACUAACCCUGCCAUCACCUUCUCUUGAGCAAUAAGAUAUUUGAUCUCCAACUUACUUGUUGCAGUAGACCCCUUGCUGUUCUUGAAGAAAAAUAUUGCUGCAUUGUUAUCACAAAAUAUCUGAAUAGGCCUUUCAAUCAAAUCCACCACUAUAAGUCCUAUGAUAAAAUUCUUUAACCAUAUAGCUUGAUUAACUGUCUCACAGCAUAACAGGUAUUCAGCUACCAUUGUUGAGGCUGCAAAUAUGUCUUCCUUGACACUCCUCCAUGAUACUACUCCUCCUCCCAUUGUAAAAACAUAACCCAAUGUUGACUUUAGGUCAUCUGGACACCGAGCAAAAUCAACAUCACUACCUCCAAAAUCAAACUAUUAGCCGUUUUAUAAACCAACAUGUGGUCUUUGGUUCUUUGGAGGUAUCUUAAAACUCUUUUUCCUACAUUCCAAUGUGCUUCACCUGCAUUGGAUUGAAGACUUCCAUGGACACUAAUUGUGAAUGUAAGAUUCGGCCUUGUACAAACUUGUGCACAAAUUAGACUCCCCAUUAACGAAGUAUAUGGUAUCUCUUUCAUGUUAUCCUUCUCUAUAGCACUCUUGGGACAUUGGCUUUUGUUUAACUUGUCACCCUUUGAUAUUGGCAUCUCAGUGGUCCCACAUGGUCAUAUUGAACGUCUUUAACACCUUUUUCUAUAUAGCGCUUUUGAGACAGUCCCAACAUUCCCCUUUCUCUAUCUCGUUUGAGCUCAACCCCAAAAAAUACGAUGCUUCACCUAGAUCCUUCAUUUCAAAGUUACUUUGCAAGAAAGACUUGGUAUCAUCCAAAAGACUUGAGCAAUUGGAUGCUAGCAGUAUAUCAUCCACAUAAAGUAUCAUAAGUUGCUCCUAUAGAUUUUCAAAUAUAUACAAACAUCAAAUGGAUUUUCUGUGAAGCCAUGUUCCUUGACAACACAAUGAAACUUCAAGUACCAUGCCUGGAUGCCUGUUUCAAUCCAUAAAUGGAUAUCUUCAACUUGCAAAUCCUAUUUUCUCUCCCUUCCUCUUUGAAGUUGCACCAUGUAGAUAUCCUCUUCCAAUUCACCAUUCAAGGAAGUUGUCUUUACAUCCAUUUGAUGUAAAAACAAGUUAUAAUGAGCCACCAUUGCCAUUACAACUCUGAAAGCAUCCUUAGCAGAUACAGGACUAAAUGUUUCUUUAUAAUCAAUUUCCUCUCUUUGAGUAAACCCCUUGGCCACCAGUCUUGCCUUGUGUCUUUCUACAUUACCCCUUGAGUUCCUUUUGGUUUUAAAUACCCACUUACAACCUAUUGGUUUGACUCAUUCUCUCGGCUCUACAAGACUUCAUACUUCAUUUUACUCCAAUGAAGAAAGCUCACUUUUCAUAGCUUCAAUCCACUUGUCUGCCUUUAUACUCGAAAAGCUUCUUUUUAGUUCUCUGGAUCAUCGAACUUUGACAUAUUAAUUCUAUUUCUGCCAUAUACACGAAGUCACCUGAGUGUGCUGAUUUUCUACCCUAGUUGACUUUCUCCAGGGAACGAAAUAUUCUUUAUUGCUUCAGCUUCUUGUUUUCCUUGCUGAUCAUUCUCGACUACGACUGCUGGUUCAAUAUUUGCUGUACCCACUCUUGGUUGUUACUCUUAGGGAAAUUAGUAUCCCGAAUUCCAAACCGAAAUUUUUUGGGAAGGGAAUUUAAAGACCAAUCCCAAACCAAAUUUUCGGGAAUCCCGAAAUAUUUUCAGGAUUUCAGGACAAAUCGGGAAUCCCAAAUUGAAAUAUGGAAUUAUGAAUUGUUGUUCAAAUAUAUAAUUCAAGAACACAUUCAUGAACUAGGAAUGACAUUUCAUUCACACUACCAUUUAAUCUAAAACUGGCAUGCCUGACUGUUUUUAUCAGAGUCAAAAUUCAAAUUAAUUAAACACUUUUUGCAAUCUGUAGAGAGACAAAAGAAUCAAGCCUUCUAAAAUCAUCAGCCAUGACAGCAACAAUAAUAAAAUCCAAAUGGAUAUCAAACAGAACAUGAAAAAUAUGCAAGGUGUAGGGCAUUCCAGGUUGCGGAGCAUGAAUUAGAAACCACUAGCAUCAAUUAUAAAAGAAUAAUAUAUAUAAUGUAUAUGUAUAAAUAUAUAUAUAUAUAUAAUAAUUAAUAUUAUAUAUUUUCGGUUUGGUAUGGGAUUUCCGAAAUAUCGAGAAGCCAAUCCCGAAUCCUGUACCGAAAUUUCAAGAUCGGUUCGGGAUAGCAUCCUGAAAUUUUUGAGAAUUUCGGUUUGAGAAAUUUUUGGUUUGGGAUCGGGAUUUUUUUCGGUUCGGUUCGGGAUUUUCGGGAUUUUUUUCCACCCCUAGUUACUCUCCAUGGGUUGAUGAUUCAAUUUCAUUUCCUAAGUUCAUGGCUCGAUCAUCAUCAGUGUCACAUUCUUUGCUUAGAUCAGUGAUCUCAACCACUGCUGUUGUAGGCUGAUGAUGAUCCAUUUCAUUUUCUUCUCCAUUCCCUAUUUCUCCCUCUUCUUCAAAAACAAAAUCAUCAGUUCUAAUACUUGAAUCAAUAUCCAUCCGUAACUCCAAGAAUACUGCCUUUCUAGUUUCAACAAUCUUCAUGUUGUGAUUAAGGCAAUAGAAUCGAAACCCGUUAGAUCUCUCAAUAUAUCCCAUGAAGUAACAAGAGAGUGUCUUGGGAUCAAGUUUCUUGCCAUUAGGGUUAUAAAUCUUGGCUUCGGCUUUUCAUCCCCAAACAUGUAAGCGAUUUAGACUAGGUUUUUUACAUGUAUGUCCAAAGUUCGAAAAGGGUUUUUAGGUACUUGAUUAACAAUAUAGUUGGUAGUUUUGAUUGCCUUUCCUCACAUAAAUAAUGGUAAAUCAACCUUGCACAUCAUACUUCUAACCAUGUCCAUCAUCGUCCUAUUUCUUCUUUCUAAGACCCUAUUUUACUUAGGUGUCCCAAGGGUCUUGUACUGUGCUACGAUGCCAUGACUUUGAAGAUACAAUGCAAAUGGUUCUGGUUGUCUGCCAGUUUCACUUUGUUUGCCAUAAUACUCACCUUCUCUAUCACACCUAACAACUUUGAUCUUUCUUUCCAAUUGGCUUUCAACUUCAAUUUUAAAAAAUUUAAAAACUUCAAAAGCUUCUGACUUCUUAGAGAUCAAGUAUAUAAAACAAAACGAGAAAAAUCGUCUAUAAAGGUUAUAAAAUACUUGUUCCCAUCAAUUGUUUUUGUAGGAAAUGGACCACAAAUGUAUGUAUGAAUGAUCUCUAGAAGUUGUUUGCUUUUGGUUGAUCCUUCCUUUCUUGAAUUAGUCAUUUUUCCCUUAAUGCAUUCUAUGCAAAUUUGGAAAUCAUUGAAGUUUAAGGGUGGUAAAAUGUCAUUUUUGAUUAAAAGAUCCAUCCAUGUUUUAGAAAUAUGGCCGAGCCUUUUGUGCCAAAGGUGAGAUAAUUAAAGGGGUUUUGAGGGAUUCUUUUCAACAUUAAAGACUACAUUAUCGACAUAUAGUUUAAAUUAAAAACAUACCAUUACUCAUAAAACCAGCGCCAAUAUGAGAAGAAUUAUAAAAAAAAAAAAUGUUGAAGCCAAUAUUAUUUAAAGUAAAAUAAUACCCUAACAAAACAAGUUUUGAAACUAAAACUAACCUCCUUUUUCAUGAAAGGUACAUAAGAAACAUUUUCUAAAUCCAAAUAAAAAACCAAAGUCUAACUUAAGUCUAACAGUCCCGAAAGCUUUGACUUCAACCUUUCUUCCAUUACCCAUCGAGACUUUCACUUCAUCUUUAUUUGGUAUUCUCUUUAUUGUGAAGCCCUGCAAUGAAUUCAUUGACAUGAAUAGAAGAGCCAAAGUCAAGCCACCAUGCAUUACUAGGUAUGUCAACUGAAUUAGACUCAAAACACACAAAAACUUUGUUACCUUUCUUUGUUUCUUGCUUGGCAAGCCAAGUUUUGUAUUUUGGGCAACUCUUAUCAUGUGGCCUGCUUUCUUAUAGAAAAAAAGGGGUAAAUUACACAAAACUACCUCAACUAUGGGUUGAACCACAAUCUCAUACCUAAUGUUUUAAACAUUGCAGUGUCAUACCUUAACUUAUAAAUUCAUUGCAAUGUCAAACCUCCGUUAAAUUUUCUAUCAAUUUCGCUAUUAAGUGAUGACGUGGCAGGCGUGGGGCCCAAUCCUCACCCAACUUGUGAUAUCCCGUCCCCAAAAUUAGUAUUUUAUUUCUUUUUAAACGUAUAUUGGAGAUUUAAUUGAAGUUAGUUCGUUAAUUCUCCGAUUUGAGAAAAGCAAAGUGAGGGGUACUUUAGUUAUUUCAAAUUUUCUCAACCUUUUCGGUCAACUCUUAAGUUAGUUAGGUAGAGUUCAAUUCCACGAGCGCAUAGGCGCAAACGGAUCUCAAUUUCAAAUUAUAACGAAGAAGUUAGAAACGUUUAAAGUGGGGGAUAUUUUGGUUAUUUAGACCUUACCAUAAAUUUCCACAAGUGGAUACCUAGAUUCUUGGAGGUUUCCAUUUCGGGAAACUGUACCCAAAAGCCCAGAAACCCAACCCAAGUGACCCACCGCAACCCAUGACAUUCCGAUGCCGAUUCUGGCCAACUCUAGUUUCAUUUUUCAAUGCCACCACCACCAUCUUGAAGAUCUCACCUCCCUCUACAAAACCCACCCAAGAACCACCUUGAUUAACCAUCGUUCUCCGGCCACCCUUAUUAUUUUUUCGAUGAAUCGGCAAAGCGAUGGUCGAUUCCUCCACUUGGAACUUGAAGCCCAUCAUCCCAGGAGUAAAUCCCGACUAGACUUGACCCCGUUGGACCACCCUAGGUUGCAAAUUGACGCUGGGAAGCUUUAGGCACCCGCCGGCUUUAUCGGCAAAAUUGAUCAUUUUCCGCCCACUUUUGGACAUUUUGGAUUUUUCCCACUGGCACCAAUGUUGUAUCUCUCACCACACUUCUUGUUCCACUACUUCUCCUUGAUCAUCGUCAUCCACCUCCCAUUUCUCCUCCUCACAUAGCAAAACAUCCAACAAACGUGAAUGACUUUGCGAGUUUUGGUGUUGGUUAUGAUUCAUUGCCAUUAUCUUUCGAGAAGAAGAUGUUUAGUCCUCUGCUCAUAAAUUGAAAGAUUCAUAAGUGCAUGAUAAAAUGUCUGUAUAUAGUCUAGAAGUUCAUCAAGACAUGUCUACCGUGGACCUCUAUUCCUGCACCAAGACACAUCUUCCAGUGAAUUUAUUCCUACAUCAAAACAUGUUUCCCAGUGAGGCUAAUCAAGCAUCCUUGUUUACUUAUAAGGCAUAAGAAAAUUCCAAUCCUUGUUUUAUCAGUUGGAAAUAAGCUAUUUCUGAUGCACCCAUUUAUCCAUAGGUUAUUACAACGACUAAAUAGCCAAAAUGGUCCCUGAGAUUUGCAUAACUCAUCACUUUGGUCCCUAACAUUUCAAAUCAAUAAAAGUGGUCCCUGAGAUUGUCCACCAUCCAUCAUUUUGGUCAUUCCUUUAAAAGCUCUGUUAAGUGUCCCGGAGCUCUUGGCCAGAAGUUGGAGCAAUUUUCAAAGCUUCGUAACUCAAUCGUUUCUUAACCAAAUUCUACCCAUAAUAUAUCAAAAUGAAGAUAGGAAAGUGUAGAAUAAGAGUAUACCUAUUUGGAAGCCCAAUGACUGCCACAGAUAGCCGGCCUCAAAGUUGACUGGUUCGAGGGAAAACUGGAAAACUCGCCACAAAUUGGGUAAACUUUAAAUGUUCAUAACUUCUUCAAUACUCAACGAAAUCAAGUGAUUCAAAAACUAAAAUCAUAAUUCUCGAUGAGAUGAAGAGAAUGGUACAUUUUUAGACGUAUAAAUAGUCGUGGUUUAGCCGGAACAUUGCUCGAAAGUGGCUAACUCGAGACCAAGAUAGCCACUUUCGAGCCAUUUUCCGGCCAAAUUACAGCAUGUUAGCUAUCGAAAAAGGUACCAUUCUGUUCGUCUCAUCAAGAAGUAUGAUUUUUGUUUUUGAAUCACUUGAUUUUGUUGAUUAUUGAAGAAGUUAUGAAAGUUUAAAGUUUACCCAAUUUCCGGCUAGUUUUCCAGUUUUCUCUCGGAUCAGUCAACUUUGAGGCUAUUUUCUCGCCAUCUUCGGCAGCCAUUGGGCUUCCAAAUGGUAUAAUCUUAUUCUACACUUUCCUAUCUUCAUUUUGAUAUAUUAUGGGUCGAAUUUGGUUAAGAAACGAUUGAGUUACGAAGCUGUGAAAAUUGUCCAAACUUCCGGUCAAGACCUCCGGGACACUUAACGGAGUUUUUAACGGAAGGACCAAAAUGAUGGAUGGUGGACAAUCUCAGGGACCACUUUUAUCGAUUUGAAAUGUUAGGAACCAAAGCGAAGAGUUAUGCAAAUCUCAAUGACCAUUUUGGCUAUUUAGCCUUAUUACAACAAACCACAACCUGUAUGAACUUCUUGGAACAACAAAAAAAAUUUUGGUCUAAUGGAAACAAUAAUAUCUAUCAUCUCACUUUUUGACUAUUGGAAAUAAUAGAAAGCUUUAUCCCUCUAUGAAAGUGAGUUAAGUGCAGAGCAAUGCUGGAAUGGAAACCAAGGAGAAAAACAUUUUUCUCUCAGCUGGAAAUCUCUAUCUUGACUAGUGUUCUGAAAAGUGGUCUACGCAGCCGCCUAGGCUCUAGGGGGUGGUGCUUCAUCGUGAUUAACCUGAUAUCGUUUAUGAAAUCAACAAGGGUAAUAUGCGGUGUAAGGUGGACAUUGGGCGGCCGCGGCAACUUGGGAAAAAACAAUCUAUCACGAGACUCACAACUCACGACUCACAAAGAAAGAAGUCUGCGUCUCGCUGAUUCCAUCAUCGCCCUCUAGAUGUAAUCGAAGAGGAGUGGUCGAUAGUCUACAAGACGAGAGAGUUGUAGAAGAGAAGUUAUGGCUCUGUAAUUACCGAGAUGGCUGACGACGACAUUAGCUUAGCAGCUUUAACAAGCUUUGGUUAGGGCCUUUUAUUUUAAGCAGGUGGAAAUUCUAUUAAAACUAGGAAUAUAAGACCCAACCUUUCAUUUAUUUAAUGAGAAUAAAAGGUCCAACAAAAGUUAUAGGCAUAAAAUAUGAUACAAAAUCAACAAAAAGAGUUCUAAAUUUUACACAUAUACUUAUAACUUAUAAUAUAUAUAUAUAUAUAUAUAUAUAUAUAUAUAUAUAAUUAAAUAAAAAUAAAAAAUACUCUUAGGAUCUCACAUAGGCCCCUAAAUGUUGGCCCUCCCCACUUCCCGACUACCACCUAAGGCACACCAUUUUGCACCUCAAGCUCUCAUGCCAAGCCUAAUUAUUCUAAUAUCGAGUAAUUAUUUUCAUGCGAUCAAAUAGCUAAGUUCUAUUAGCCUCCCCUUCUUUUGGUCACCAUUUAGAGUGUUAAUAGCUUUUAUCUGGUUCUAGGUAGACUAAUAGCUUUUAUCUGGUUCUAGGUAGACUUUCAUGUUUCCUAGUUUGUAUCGUCAUCACUGUCCAUUGUACUUUAAGUCAAAAUUAAUUCUAGAGCUCCAAUAUUCUUCUAUAUAUUCUUCUCCAUCUUAGAGGUAAUAUAUAUACUCACAUCUCUUGUAGUACAAGUAAUAGUUGAUGACUUCUAAUCAAUUUAGGAAAUACAAUAAUAGUAAUUAUAUUCCUAACCAAACUAGGACUCACACCAACAUUCCCCCUCAAGUUGGUGCAUAGAUAUCGCCUAACCCUAACUUGUCAAGUGAGUCUUGAAAUCUUCUCGUAGAAAUAUCAUGAGUUAGAAUAUCUGCCAAUUGUUCUUCUAUCUUCAUAAACAAAAUGUCAACCAACUUAACAUCUAGCUUUUCAUUUAUGAAAUGUCUAUCCACCUCAACAUGUUUGGUCUUAUCAUGCUGCAUCAGAUUGUUAGCAAUCUUUUAUGCUGCUUGAUUUUCAUAGUACAAUAGCAUAGACCUUUUUGGUUUGAACCCUACCUCAGUGAGUAGAAUCUGAAGCCAUAUGAGCUCAAAAAUACCAUGUGUCAUUCCUCUAUACUUACCCUCGGUCGAAGACCUUACCACCACAUUUUGCUUUUCACUUCUCCAGGUCAUAGGAUUACUAGCAACAAACAUAAAGUAUCCUCAUGUAGAUCGCCAAUCAAUAAUAUUUCUAGCUUAGUCUGCAUCGGUAUAUCCUUUCACCUUCAUGUGCCUAUGCUUUCUAUACAUUAACCCUUUUCUAGGAGCCAUUUUCAAGUAAUUGAGAAUCCACAUUACCGUCAGUAUAUGAUCCUAACUAGGUGCAUGCAUGAACUGACAUACCACAUUUACCGCAUAGGCAAUAUUAGGUCAUGUAAGCGACAAGUAAAUCAAUCUUCCCACUAACCUUUAAUACUUUUCUUCAUUUGUCGGGACUUGAUCUUGAUAAAUUGCAAGAUGAUGAUUCUGUACAAUUAGAGUAUCCGUCUGUUUACAUGCUAGCAUAGCAGUCUCAGAUAACUAGUCUACCACAUACUUACAUUGUGACAAGUAGAUCCAUUCUCGAGACCUAACAACUUGAAUACCUAGGAAGUACUUAAGUCCCCUUAGAUCUUUCAUCUCGAAGUCGAAGGCCGAGUACCCCUGUAGUUGUUCAAUUUUCUUCAUAUCAUCACCUGUAAUUAUAUCAUCCACACAUAUAAUGAGCAAAGUAACUUUACCAUCCCUGCGCUUUAUAACUAAAGGAUGAUCUGAGUUCCUCUAUCAAUAUCCAUACUUUUUCAUAGCUGAAGUGAAUCUCCCAAACCAUGCUCUAGGUGACUACUUAAGACCAUACAACACCUUUUGAAGUUUGCCCACUUUCCCACUAGAGUUUGCAAUGCCAUAUCCUGGUGGAAAAUCCAUUUAGACUUUUUCCUCUAAAUCCUCAUGCAGAAGUGCAUUUUUCAUAUCAAACUGGAGCUAACAUUUCCUAAUAGUCAACACCAAAGGUUUGUGUGUACCCUUUAGGUACAAUCCUCACCUUGUACUUAUUGCCUCUAUCCAUUUCGGAUCAUUCAAGGCUUCUUCCACUCUGGUAGGUAUUUUGAUAGUGUCUAUUUGUUCAACAAGCGCACGGUAUUUUAGCUAGAGUCGAUGGGUGGAGACAUAGUUUGCAAUAGAGUAUUGUACCUUCUCUUCUAGAGAGUACCUUUAUGGCGAAUUUCCUUGAUUUUGUCUAGGAGGUAACAUAUAGAGUGGUUUACUAAUUUCUGAUUGAGUACUUACCUCAAGGAUAUCCAUUGAAUCAUCGACUGGUAUUGGAAGAGUGUGAUAGGACUUGUCAUUUGAGAUGUUACUCGGGGAAGCAGCAAUGGACCUAUUUGGUCAAGUGGCAAAAGUAUGAAAUAGCCCAUUUGGGUAGGUUGCAGAAGCAGUGUGAAACCCCACCCCCAAAUAAUUUGUAAUUUUAUUUUUGUUUAACAAUUUAUGAAAUUACGAAAUUGCCCCUUACUUCCUACCCAAUCCAUAUCUCCUUUCUAGAUUAUCUAACUCUCUUUAGUUGCCACGUGGCAGCCCUCUAACCCAUCCCUUAUCUUUCUCUCCUUCCCACGAGUUAACCCUCUCCCUUUCUCAGCUCACACAUUUUUCUCUGUCUCACAGAUCUUUCUCUCGCAUUUUCCCUUCCCGAUCUACCCAUACACGCACACCAAGGCACCAUCACCCUAAUGACCUCACCACCACCACCGUCACCCUCGUGAGAACCCUCCCCCUUUUUUUCUUUUUCGUUGUUAAGCUCUAGGGCACCCAAAGGACACCCAAGAACCUGUGGUGUUCAAGUCCAAAUUUCGGCCACCCCAUGACGAAUCAAAGGUACCUAAUCACUCAAUUUUGUCUCUAGCUUCAUUUUGGUACCUAGUUUAUGGCCUAAGGGUGAGUGUUAAUGAUGACCGGAGCUCAGAAGACUCCGACUUUCUUUCCUCAGCAAAGAAAUGACCUUCAAGCCCAGACCCAAAGAGACAGACCCUUGGGGCCAUGCUAAUUUAGGCUAUUGGCCCGCUAAACCCUUGGUCUAAAAACAUAAGGGCUUUGGCCCGUUAAACCUUAAACCCUAUAACCUUUGGGCCGAGCUUUCAAGCCUAGGCCCUUUGACCUAAAACCCAUUUGACCCAGGGCUUUGGGCCUUAAAACCCAGCCCAGUGGUGAAGCCCAAGCCACCGAAUCCAAGCCCAAGAACCUUAGCCCAAAUCUGGUCCAGCCCAGCAACCUAGUUGUGCGUGAGCUUGCGCGUGGGUGUUUGUUGGUUCUGGUUCAUGAUUUAGGAAGUUGUUCCAAAUCACAUUCAAGGUAAUCAUACAAGUAAAAGAAUCACAUUGGAUAGUAGACAUGAAUAAACUAUCAAACCAAACAAUGUGGUCAAGAGUAUUGUAUUAGGGAAAAACCGUAUUGCAUUGUAAUCCUAAACUGAAUAGGUUUUCCACCUCUUCUGAUUAGCUUGGGUAGCCAUGAUAUACUGUUAGGUGUCACUCAUGGUUUGUGGAAUCCCUAAAGGUGUAUAAUCACUAAAGGGAGAAUUGAAAGUAUGUUUCAAUUCACAAUCAAUUUGAAAAGUUCUAAUCGCCCACUGCCUCGCUAAAAGGAACCUAAUGGAUUGUACACCGUGUAAGGUAAAUAUUAAAGAAACAAUGGAGAUGAGUAAGGAUAAUUAAAAGGUUUAAUUAUUUAUGGCCAUGAUUAAUUAAUAUGUUAAUUAAUCAAAUGAAUAAGUUCGUUUUAGCUUUGAGUAAUUAUUCGAUCUCAAGGCCUAUUGGGCUUAGAAUCGUCAAGCCCAUUAACUUAAGUUGUAUAACAACUUAAUGACUAAGGACUCAAAAGGGACCAAACAGCCCAAAGCCUUUAGAAGGCCGGCCAUAUUGUAAAUGAAUGGGUUUUGGUUCUUUUUGUCACUUAAGUGAAGUGACUAUAUAAAGGAAUUUAUAGCCAAAAGUUCAUAAAGGUUUUCUAGAGAGAAAAUAUGAGUACACAAAGCUCUCUCUUCUCUUAGGAGGCCGGCCACCCUAGAGGAAAAUAACUAGCAAUCAUUCGUCCUCUAGAUCACUCAUCUCUUCCUCAAUGCUCUCCUUGGUGUGGAGACUUAGAGGUUCCCUAUUUUGGGAACUUGGAGAAUCGAUUCCUUCAUCCAUCCAAGAAGUCAUGGAGCCAAGAAGCAAUGUUUCUCUAUCCACAUCCAUGGAGUCAAGGAGCAAGAAGACUAAGGAAAGAAGGCCCUCACAUGGGUGAAUAUCCUUUGCUAGGCAAAUAGGUGCUUCAAAGGUAUAAAAGUUUCUCAACUCUUUCCCUUAAUAUUUGAGUUGAGUCUUGGUUCACGACAAGUAUUAGGCCUUGAAUUUUAUGGGUAAAAUUUUGUUUUUGGGUGCAUAUAAGCAUGAUUCUGCCUUUUAAUUGUUAAUUGCAUGCAUAGAUGUUGCUUAAAUGAACUAGUUUUCACAAAGAUUUCCUUCAGUAUAUGUGAGUAGACCCCUUCUAAAAUGCAUGUUUUAAUAGUAGAAAUGCAUACAUGAAAAUCAUGAUUUAAUGGUUACGUUUUAUGAAACGUUUUAUAAGUAAAUUGGAUUUACAUUAUAUGAUUAUCAUGCUUACUGAGAAUAUUUUGGAAUAUCAUAUUUUAUCGAAAUUAUGUUCUUUGUAGUAUAUAUGAUGGAUGACUAUAUAUUAUUUAUGAACAUGUUUUCUUUACACUUCUUUAUAGUAUAUAUGAUGGAUGACUAUAUGCUAUGAACAGGGGCGGAGGGACCAUAGGACCACAGUAGUCCUAGGCCCAUCCUACUUUUGUUUAUAACUAAAAAUUAGUACUACUUAUUAUUUUAUUAUUUUCAGUUAAAUCAUUCAUAUUUCCUAGACAAACUAUCCGGCCCUCUUUAAAUAUUUUAAGAUAUCCGGCCCUCUUUAAAUAACCCUAAAGCCUACCUAUAACCUAUUCCAACUUCCAACACUUCAUCUUCCAUUCAUUUUCCCAAUACUAAAAAUUAGUAUUUUAUUAUUCUCUAAUUCUAGCCGACUGUUGCUCUGCUGCUAGUUUGAAAAAAUAGUCAGAACACUUGAAACACCCCUACCCUCUUUUAUAUUUUAAAAUUGUUUUAAAGCCUUAAUUGGUGAGCCCGUGGGGCCCACCUUGUUUAUUUUUUUUUAUGUUUUCUGAUCUCUCUCUUCUUCUUCUUCGUUUCUCCCUCCCGUAGCUCUCUCCUUCUUAACACUGCUUCUCUCAUCUAGCAUGUCACAGUCUUCAACCAGUCUAUCAAUCUAUCAGUCUUCAAUUUCCAUGAUCCUCAAGAGUAUGAACUUCGAAUCUUCAUAGUUGUCAUUUUUAAUUUUUUUUUUAUAAUUUGCUAAUUCAUAUAUGUUGUCAUCUACAAUUGUAAAUUAAUUUAACAAAUAAUAUUUUUUUUGCAGAUUAAAGAAUUCAAUUAUUCCAUCAUUCCAUAAAAAAGACAUUGAAGUUUAGUUAAUUGGUCAACAACCCAAAGUAUGUAUUUUACUCUCAAUUCCUGUUACAAUUUUUUGUUUAUAAAUUAUGAUUAAAUUGAUGUCUUGCAAUUUCUCUUAACUAUUGCCUAAUUUGUUUGAGUUUGUAAAAUUAGCAUAUAUGUUCAUAUUUCUUUUAAUUUAAAGUUAGUAAAUCUAUGUUUUUUUACUUUUCAGUUAUGGAAAGAUAUUUCAAAAGAAAAACACAACCUGAGAUAUUAGAACCGUCUCCAAAGAGUCCAAAGAACAAUGAAAGUAGUUCAAAACAAACUUGUGUGGAUUCUAUGGAAAUUAACUCGGAAACUCUCCAGUAUGAUCCUGGAUUGCGUAGACCGAUUUUGAGUUAUCAUCCUAAUGUUCGAGACCAAGUUCGAAGAGCCUAUCUCCAAAAUAAAACCUUGUCAACCAAAAACCCCAUGCAUUUCCCUACACAAAUUUUGGGACAAAGCCUAGAAGGUUCAAUCCUGCUUGAUUUACUCAAUUUCCUAAUUGGUUGGAGUAUAGCACAUCACAGGAUGCUGCCUAUUGUUUAUGUUGUUAUCUCUUCAAACCUGAUAUUGGAGAUCAAUCUGGUGGGGAUACUUUUGUUGGAGUCGGAUUCAAGAAUUGGAAGUGCAAGAAGAAACUAGAAAUUCAUGUUGGAGGACCUAAUAGUUCUCAUAAUAAUGCUUGGAGAAACUGUGAAGCCUUAUUAAACCAAAAACAACAUAUUGAAACAGUUAUCUCAAAACAAACUGACCAAGAUCGAAUUGAUUAUCGAACUCGAUUAGGUGCAUCAGUUGGUGUUAGUAGAAUUCUCUUACAACAAGGUCUUCCAUUUCGUGGGCAUGAUGAAUCUGAAAAUUCACUCAACCAAGGAAACUUUCUUGAAAUUCUACGGUGGCUACGUCAUUAUAAUGAGGGUAUAAAGGCUGUCACGCUAGAAAAUGCUCCUGAAAAUUUGAAAUUGACAUCACCUGAUAUUCAGAAGGACAUCUCAAGUGCUAUUUCAUAUGAAAUCAUCAGUGCAAUCACUAGUGAUAUUAAUGAUUCUUUAUUUUCCAUUCUUGUUGAUGAAUCACGAGACAAGUCUUCAAAGGAGAAAAUGGCCAUUGUAUUGCGCUUUGUGGAUAAAGGUCAUGUGAUAGAGCGCUUUGUAGGUAUUGAGCAUGUUGCAGAUACUAAAGCUUCCUCACUCAAGUUAGCCAUUGAUGAUUUCUUUUCUAGACAUGGAUUGAGCAUAUCAAAAUUGCGUGGGCAAGGCUAUGAUGGGGCAAGUAAUAUGCAAGGUGAGUUCAAUGGCCUUAAAGCACUAAUUUUAAAUGAGAAUGAGUCUGCCUUUUAUGUUCAUUGUUUUGCUCAUCAACUUCAAUUAGCUCUAGUAGCAGUGGCAAAAAAAAAUUCUGAAAUUGGAGAUCUCUUUACUAUGGUUUCUUCUGUGGUGAAUAUUGUGGUGGCAUCUUCUAAGCGUCGUGAUAUUCUUAGAGAGAAACAUGCUCAUGUAGUUUUGGAAGCACUAGAAAAUAACGAGCUUUCAAGUGGACAAGGUUUGAAUCAAGAAACUACUCUUAAGCGGGCUAGUGACACGCGAUGGAGCUCACUAUAAUUGUUUAAUCAGCUUGGCUCACAUGUUCUCAUCAACGAUAGAAGUGCUUGAGAUUGUAAGAAAAGAUGGAACAAGUUCUGAACAAAAAUUUGAAGCAAAGGUUCUAUUGACUUUUAUUCAAUCUUUCAACUUUAUUUUUGGUCUACACUUGAUGAAAAAGGUUUUGGGGAUCACAAACGAUUUAUCGCAGGCAUUGCAAAAGAAGGAUCAAGAUAUUGUGAAUGCAAUGAACUUGGUCAAUAUAUGCAAAGGAAGAUUGCAAAGGAUGCGAGAAAGUGGUUGGGAAUCCUUAUUUGAUGAAGUUUCAUCCUUUUGUGACAAGAAUUGUAUUAAAAUUCCUAGCAUGGAUGAUAUUUUUACGAGUGGAGAGCGACCAAACCGAAAAGCUCAUCCCAUCACAAACGUGCACCAUUAUCGGGUUGAUUUAUUCACCGAUGUCAUAGAUAAACAACUCACUGAGUUAAAUGAUCGAUUUACUGAGAAGAAUACUGAACUACUUCUUUGUGUGGCAUGUUUAAGUCCAAGUAAUUCUUUCUCUGCCUUUGACAAAGAAAAAUUGAUGCGUCUUGCCCAAUUUUAUCCAAGUGAUUUUUCAGAGCACGAUCUUGAGUUACUCAAAGAACAGCUUGAGAAUUAUAUUUGGGACAUGACCUCUAAUAGUGAGUUUGCAGAUUUGAAAGGAAUUAGUGAUCUUGCACAAAAGAUGGUUGGAACCAAGAAAGAUCAUACUUAUCCGUUAGUGUACUUGCUUUUGACACUGGCACUCAUCUUACCGGUUGCAACAGCAAGUGUAGAGCGAGUCUUUUCUGCUAUGAAUAUUGUUAAGAACACCCUACGCAAUCGAAUGGGUGAUUUGUGGAUGAACGAUUGUUUGGUUGCUUAUAUUGAAAAGGAUAUUUUUAAUAGUAUAGAGGACGAGGCUAUCAUGCAACGGUUUCAAAAUAUGAAAACUCGUCGAGGACAAUUAUUUUAAUUAUUGGGAAUAUGUAAUAUUAUCAAUGCUAUGUUAUUUUGAAUUUUGGUUACUUUUCAUAUACAUACUAUGAUGUUUUGGUUAACAGUUUUGUAACUACUAUCGAUUUAAUUUUUUUUAAUAUUUGUGAGAGGCCCCUCCUAAUCCGAAAUCCUGGCUCCGCCACUGGCUAUGAAGAUGAUUUUGAGAUAUAUGUACUUAUGUUUGGAAAGAGUAUAUUCAAUGUUUUGUGCGUAUCUAGUGGUCAUUAUUCUACCUACGGGCAAUGAUACUUAUAUUGGCUUUGGUUGGGCAUUGGUAGAUGGCUACGGCCGAAAGAUACUUAUAUAUGAUACCAUUAGCUAGCACACUAUACGAUAUAUGUUUCAUGAAAGGUUUUAUGGCAUGCUAGCAUUUUCGGAAAACCUAUUACAUAUUAUACUAUUGAGCUUUCAUAAACUUUGGGGGUUAGUAUGUUGAUUAACUAUUUCAAUAUUAUAUAUAUAUAUAUAUAUAUAUAUAUAUAUAUAUAUAUAUAUAUCAACUUGAUCCACUCAUGUUUGUUUUGCGCUCCCUCAGGACAUAGGAACGAGGCUUACAAUCUGAGCUACGAGGCAUUCCCCUACUAGUGAUAUCUUGCCUUUAUCUCUGCUUGACAUUCAUUUUAAUAGCACCUUUCUACUUUACCUUCCACUUGUACUCUGGAUUAGUUGUAUACUCUGAACAUGUCAUGCAUUAUCAUUAUACUCAUUGUUGGCAGUUGAAUAUUAUUAUUGUAUUUUGUAAGACUUAUAUUUGAAUAUUACUUUGCGUAGUUACACGCAAAAUGUUUAUGCAUGUUUACAUGUUCUUAGCAUAUGCAUUCAUUAAAUAGCUUGCGUUGUCGGCCAGCACGUGGCCAUCCCGAUGGGGAUUGGGGCGUGUCAAGCAGGGAGAAAUCCAAGUAGGCUGACUGUAUCAACCAACCUACUUGUUGUGGGUUCAAUGAGGUCAUCAUCAUCAGGAGGCCCACCGCAUUUUGUUGUCUCAAUUCCAACAUGACUAGGGAAAGGCCCACGUGGGCUGGCAACAUCAAACGUCCUACUUGUCGUGGUCUUAAUUAAGCCAUCUUCACGCCCAGGUGCACCUUCACCAUUGCCAUGUGUAGCAUCAUCAUUACAGCUAAAUGGGCUUUAAACGCUGCCAUGUGCAGCAUAAUCAUCACGCCCAGAUAAGCUUUUGAUGCUGGCUUGUUCAUAAUUAAAAGAGAAUCCAUUUCACCCACUUAAGCUGUCUUGCGACCCAUUUUUUCCAGCACAUGCAUCAUCACUUGUGUUGUCUUCUACGUUGUCUCAAUGGUUAGUCAGCUCACUUAGGCCAGUUUGGUCAGUCAGCCCACCUUUUUCCAUUUGAUUAGUCAAGCCACUUGGGUUAGCACGUUUUGUAGGUGGAUCGGAGUCAGCAUGUGGUACUAUCUCCAUCAUACCAAAUCUGCCAUAAUCUUUAAUUAAGUUUGUCUCUCCUUAAGGAGUAUGGCAGGAAGAAAAAAUAAUUCAUCUUCAGAGAAGGUAAUAUACAUGAUGACAUACAUAUGUUAAGUGGAUGGAUGAUAACAUCAAUAUCCUUUCUGUUGAGGACUAAAGCCAAGGAACACACACCUCACCGCACAUGGAUCAAGCUUGCUUCUUUGAGUUUUGUGAAGAUGGACAUAUGCCGCACAACCAAAAACCCAAGGUUCAAGAUGGAGAGUGGAGGGGAGGAAAGCAUGAUCAGACAACACGACCAAGGGUGUUCUAAAAGAGAGAACAUGCGAUGGCUUCGAUUAAUGAGAUCAAUAGCUAAGGCCAUUUCUGAGAUUUCGGGGGCCCUGUGCAAAAUUCAUAAAAGAGACCCUUCUUAUAAGACAUUUUAAAAAAAAUUAAACAAUGUAUUGAUGCUAAAAAACAAUAUCGAAAUAAACUUUAAAACUCACUAACCAUCUAUUCUAAAUAUUAUUAAAUGUACAGAAAGAACCUAUCAAUAGCUCUGAGCCAAUUGUUCAACUUUUCUUUUUCUUUGACGCUUCAAGCCAGAUGAAUAUUUUCUAGUAGGUGCCAUUUUUUAUAUCUCAAACAAGAUCAUAAUAAAAUUAUAGUAAGUAUGAACAAUGAAACCUAAUAGUCCGCAAUACAUGUGCAUCUAGUGAUUUUUUGUGACUGCUCUCCUCUUGAUUUUACCCUGAAAAGUACAAAAGAAAUUUUUUUUAUUAUAAAUGAGAAAUACCCAAACCUUCAAACUCCAAGUCAAUAUACUUAAAUUAGUAAAUAUCUUACUUUAAUUGAAGUCUACAUCAUUCUGAUCAGUUGAAUUGUCUUCAUGAUUUGGAAGUUUCUCUUCAAUUUCAUGAACUUAUAAAUUAGGGUUUAAUAAUUUGUGGGAAAAAGAACAAUGGGAAGAGAGAAGUAAAGUAGACUAGAUAUUGGCGACGGGGGAUUCUGACAUCUGGAACUGUGGUGUGAAAGAAUAAAAAAGAGGAGCAGCGAUGGGAUUUAGUGUGAGAGAGGAAAAGUAGGAAGCAACGACAGUGAUGGGAAUCAGCAGCACUGAUUGGAAUAAACCAUCAGAUAUAUAUAUAUAUAUAUAUAUUGAUUUGAUUAGUAUUUUUAUAUAUUAUUUUCAUACAAUAUUAUUUUAUAAAAAAUUAUUUUUAGGGCAGGUGUCUGAUGGUUGUUGGCCCCAUCGGAUUUUUAUAUAUAUAUUUUUUUAUUUGAUUAAUAUUUUUAUAUAUUAUUUUCAUAUAGUAUUAUUUUAUGUAGUAUUAUAUUAAAUAAAAAACUAUUUUUGGGGCCCUGUGCAAUGGAACCUGUCACACCCUUUAAAAACCGGCUCUGUCAAUAACAUAGGUGACUGCAUCAGCCCAAUAUGUCUUAAGCACAUAGCUACCAAUAGGAAGAGCAAGGGUAAUCUCAAAUAUGCCUAUUUUUUCGUUUGGCAACUCCAUUUUGCUGUGGGGUUUGAGGACACGUAGUUUCUUGAAGAAUGCCCUUUUCUGUAAAAAAAAAACUAAGAAAAAUCUUGUUUAAGAUACUCACCACCGUUGUCUAACCAAAGCACUUUAACAAGGAUUGAAUAUUGAGUAUUGACCAUGUGAUAUAAUUUUUUAAAGAUGUCAACCACAUCGCUUUUAUUUUUCACGAGUUACAACCAUGUUAUUCUAUUGCAAUUGUCAACAAAUGUUAGAAACCAACGCAGAUCAUGCUAAGUAGUAACCAGAGAUGGCCCCCACACAUCAUAAUGAAUUAACUCAAACGAAAUUGUUCUUUGAUUUAAACUUGGAGAAUAAGAAGCUUGAUGACCUUUAGCUAAUGUGCAAACAUUACACUUCAAUGAAGAAUUUGAAAUAUUACUAAAAGUAAUUUUCGUAAAUAACCAAAAGAGGCAUGAGCUAACCGACGAUGCCACAACUAAACGGUCUUAAACCUUUUAGUGUUACAACCUUGAACUUGAUGUACACUUCCUUAUACAACAUCAUCAACAUAGUACAACAUCCUUUGCUUAGUACCAUGCCUAAAUGAUUGCCUCAGUUCGGAUAUUUUGAAGUAAACAGUAAGACGGAAAUACAACAGAGUCUAAUUGCUCAAUGACAUGUCCCACAAAUAACAAAUGACUAGAGAGUGACGGAACAAGUAAGCCGUUGUUCUUGGACGAAAUCAAAUUCAAUGAAAGCUGCGGACCUAGAUUUUCUCGGUCCGAUUGUAUAUCAUCAUUGAGUAUUGCUGGUGGACUAAGCGGACCCAUGCCCAGUCUUCUACCAACGCCAUCAAUAAUGGCUGAAGAACCCAGCGGGCCCAUGCCCAGUCUGCUGACAAUAUUGGCACCAUCGCACCAGCCUUCAGUUUGCUUGGAGUGUGGGCUCCAGGCUCCGCAAGCCCAAAACAGCCCACGCUGUAUGUCAGCACAGCAAGCCCAAUGGUUGACCCCACGGCAGAAAUUGUUGCAUGGCUUUCUCCAUUGAAAAAGGAAACGGUGGUGUAGUUAUGCGGUUACGUUUCUAGGAUUAGGUUCAGGAUGAUCCUCUUGUUUCGAGAUCAUCUUCGGUUUUACUGAUGCGGUUACGUUUCUAGGAUUAGGUUCAGGAUGAUCCUCUUGUUUCGAGAUCAUCUUCGGUUUUACUGAUGCGGUUAGGUUCCUAGGAUUUAGGUUCAAGGUGAUUCUCUUGUUUCGAGAUCACCUUUGGUUUUACUGCAGGUUGCUGUUUUUCCAGCCAAUAAGAACUCAAAGUCGGCAACAAGGGUUAGGGUUUAGAGACACGUUGAAGUAAUUCUAGGGUUCCAAUAAUCUUCUAUAUAUUCUUCUCCAUCUUGGAGGUAAUAUAUAUACUCACAUCUCUUGUAGUACAAGUAGUAGUUAGUGACUCUAAUAAAUUUAGGGAAUAUAAUAAUAAUAAUAAUAUUCGUAAUCAAACUACUGACUCACACCAACAAUUUAUGCUUUUUAUUUGGGCUUUUAUUGGCCUUAUUCUUGUUGUGCCCGUCUUAGGCUUUAAGAGUUGAUCUUUCGUUCAAAAUAAAAAAGUACAUAGGUCAUCUUAUUCAACAGGACAUUAUAAAAUAUCAAUAUUCUAACAACAACCAAACCAACUCAUAAUGGCACUGGAUCGAUACAGAUUGAAGUAAUACUAUCUCUCGUCACCUUUCCCACACGUGUGAAUCCAUCUUCCCCUUUGUAAAGAAGAUCAGUUACUCUUGUUAAAUUGAGAACGCGCAUAAGAACAGACAUUGGCACAAAAGUUGGUCUAAGGAACUCCUCGUUUAUAUCCUUCCACAAAUCCAUAAUUUGCUUCUGAAAAACAUCAACCGUCUCUUGCACUG